CCUCCCACGGUAACCGCCUCACGUUGUAAUCGGUCCUACAUCCCGUCAGGAGAUGAACAUCGACGGCCUGACCCGGGAGAAUGUGGCCAGCCACCUGCAGAAGUACCGCAUGUUGCGACGCAAGGACGCCACUUCGAGCGAGGGCCGCGACUCGGACAGCCGCACCGUGGGCACCAAGCGCAGCGAGCCGGAGAGCGGGAGACCCGCACCCGCCGCCACCACCCUGACGCAGACGACCGCCACAUCAUUGCACGGCGGUGACAGCGGCGGAGGAGGAGGGGGAGGAGGAGGAGCCAUGUCGGCGAUGACGGGCCCUAUGGGCACUGGCGGCGGCGGUGGAUCAUCAACGGCUGUCGUACCGGCGCUUAGUAGCGGUACUGCGAUGGUUGUCGCGGCGUGAUGAGGAUGUGCGCAGAUGUAUGUGUGUAUGCAUGUAUGUACGUCCUGGGGUGUGUGUGUGGGUGCGUGUUGGAAGUGUUGACGCUGUGGGUCAGGGGAUUUGGUGGGUCGUCCUUGUGGUCUCGUUGGCCCCCGCUGCGGAAGGAGGCGGUGGAGGGAGAGGAGGCUAGGGGGCUACGAGGGGGUGUGUGACGGAGGAAAAGGGACCCACCAGAAGGGCGACGGCUGACUGCUAGGGAGACGGUCUGACUGCGGUUGUCCAGAGGGUGGAGGGGGUAGGAGGCGGUGGGAAUGGGGAGGGGGUGGCGGUCCCGGCCUGCGCAGCGCAGCGCCUUCUGGCGGCGGAUUGAGGGGGCCGUUGGAGAGCUCCUGGUAUUGUAUGAACAAACAAACAAACUGACAAACAAACAAACAAAGAAACAGAUAAUGUUACAAACGAACAAUUCAAUAUGCAAAGAGAGCAACAAAUGUCAAGAGUACCGAUGAACAAUAACACCCAAUGAAUGGAUCUCUUCCCCCCCAGGGGGGGGGAGAGCUCCUCUCCAUCUCCUGGGGGUGCCUCUUUCCUCUUGUCCGGUGCAGCGGUCUUUUGCCCUCUCGAGUAGCCCUCCCUUGUGUGGUUUCCCUUCCAGUGUUAGGUCGCUAAAGGUGACGCCAAAGUUCAGAACUUGUGUAUGACGUUAUGAACUGGAUGCGGAUCACCGGAGGGUGUGUGGGGGGCGCCCGGUCCCACCAGAGCUCUUGGAAGAUGUGGAAGCGGUUAUUGCGGUUAUUGUUGUUGGUUCUGUUUGUUCUUGUAACGGAUGCUUUGGCGGGGACGACUGUCUGUUUUCUGUCUGUCUGUCUCUAAUCGUAGCUUUUGGGGCCCCGCCUGAAAGCGCGUUCCUUUCUUUCUGACGGGAGGUGGGUCUGAACCCCCGUAUUUGUCUGCUUGCGGAUAUCGCAAUGUUCGUGGUGCUACUGUAUGUAUGUCUUUCGGCACCCAGGUGCGCAGGAGGGGCCUGACACCUUGUGCGUGUGUUGUGUCGAACUGAACCGCGCGCCUACGUGCAGCUUACGUGUGUAUGUAAGUGUGUACGUGUGUUUUAAGGAACUGUUUGGCUGUGUGGCCCCAUCAAGCGUCCUCGGGUUAUUUGUUCCUUCCCCCGGGACCCCGUCACCCCGGCGGGGGGGGCCCGGGGAAACCAUCUCCUCUUGGCGGAGUUCGAUGCCGACAGUCGCGAUGAUGGUGUUGGUGUUGGUGAUGAUGAUGAUGAUGAUGAUGAUGAUGAUGAUGAUGAUGAUGGUGGUGGUGGGGUGGGGCCAAAAUCCCAGUUGAGCAAAGUCCAUGAUAUUCACCAGGGACUGUCAUUAUGCACGGCAUCUGGAGGUCACGUUUUUUUUCUGCUCCACUCGAAGGAGCCGGCGGUUUCAGCUUCUCCCCCCUAUUUUUCCGUAUGGGGGUUGGAGAGAUCUGCGUGGUUGGGGAGAGGAGGUUUUGCUGGUUUCGGAGGCGCUCUGGAAGGGGACCGACGGGUCCUACAGGGGGGAAAAUCCAAUCCACGUGGAUUCGGUUGUGGUUGGUUAAUGUCGGUUAGUUAGUUGUUCAUCUGUCCCGUACGUGUAGUUGUUGACUGUCCUGUCUUGCCGCUGUCUUUUCCUUCUCCAUGCCGUUGCUGCCGUUACCGCUGCAGCUGGUUCGCGCAUGUUAUUGUUGGUGCUGUUCUUGCCGUAGCUGCUGUGGUUUGUGCCUUCACGUCUUAAGGGCAUGUGUGCGUAUGUGUGUAUGCUCUAGUUUCUCCGGGCUUGUUUGCAUGGCUUCCUUGAUUUUGAAGCGUUUAUAUUGUUGCGCAUCAUUACUAUUAUUGAUAGUCGGGGGCAUAACUCCGAAGGGGCCGGUGAUCGGCUCAUCGUGUCGAAUGUUUUGGUGAUGGGCCCCACCCGCUGUUGCGGAUGACCACACGUUCACAAGCUCACGUCGCAGCGCGGCACAUCCGCGGAUGGCGUCCCUAACCCGGCGGGGGGCCGGGAAGGGGAAGGGUACGUGUGUGUGCACGUGUGCGUAUGUAUGUAUGGAAUGUGUGUAUGUAUGUAUGUGUGCGUUUGUGACCCCCGCAUGCUGGUCGACAUGUGAUGUCAUAUCACGGGGGGCUGUGGUGGUGCCGCGUUUCGUCCCGUCUUACAAAGAAUACGUCACGGCGCGAGGGGGCUGUGCGACGAACGCAUGUGUGGAGGUCGGCCAGAAGCGUAUCUUUUCGUGCAUGUUUAUAUGCAUGUAUGUAUGUGUAUGCAUGUGCGCUAUGGGCGCUGUUUCCAGGUGUGCAUUGCACGUAUGUCGGGNNNNNNNNNNNNNNNNNNNNNNNNNNNNNNNNNNNNNNNNNNNNNNNNNNNNNNNNNNNNNNNNNNNNNNNNNNNNNNNNNUAUUGAUGAGAUGGGGAGGGGAGGGGAGUAAGCCGGCAGGGCCAGUGGGCGCUGUCAGGGCUUUGGGGGGGGGUGGAGGGGGGGGGUAGGGUAGCUGAUGUGCUGCAGCUGCUGCAAUGGAGGCACCUCCUCCCCUGCCGGCUCUCCAGGCGCUAGCUCUUCUCCAACAGGUGGGGUUGUAGUGUAGGGGAGAUAGGUAAGCGGGAUGCGAGAGGAGGAGGAGGAGGUAGGGGGGGUGAGAGGGAGGUGAGGCAAGUGGACCGCUGCGUACCUGGCCCUGUUCAGGCGCCACCCAGCUCCCCAGCGGCUGUUGGUUGGUGCGCUCUUUCCCUUCCCUUCACCCCAAGGGAAAGCGGUUGGCAAAGGUCUAUGAAGAUGUCACUUUUGCUUGCUUAGGGAUGAUGAGAUUAUCCUAAUCCUGAUCGUACAAUUCCUAAUAUGAUAUAUUAGAUUAUUGUUUAUUGUUAGUAGUGACGGCAGCAGGCAGCACUGCAUCCUUUAGUACUAAUAGUUCCUGUGGGGGGGUGUCCGCUGUGGCGCACACAGGGGUGUGUGUGUGUGGAGGCGGCCGCUGGUGUGAAGGGGCUGUGGGGAAACGGGGGAAAGCAGGAGACAUUUAUUGCCGUCAUUUCCUUUCCUUUUUCUUUUCCUUUUUCCUUAAGUUGUUGCUGAUAGUGCUGCUUGCCGUGGCGUUGGGUGCGGGUGUGGGUGUGGGUGUAGAGCAGCCGCGGUAAAUGGUGGAUGGAACAUGCCACAACAUUGGGUACGUUUGUACAUUGAGCUUGAAUUGCUGCGUGGAAGUCGUCGUCGUUUGUUUCUAUGCGCGUUGGUCGCCAACGUGUCCGUGUUUGUACGGCACCGUACAUUCCCACGCCGCGACUUGUGGGGUGAUAGAAGGAAAAGCGUCUGUCUCCCUUCAUUGCUGCGUCCAUGCGUCCGCAUGUAGGCUUUUGUUUUUGUGGUGCAAGCACGAAUGCGUGUGUGCACGUGUGUAUGACCGUUUAUGUCUGUCUGUCUGUCUUUUUGUCUGCCUGUCUGUAGGUCGGUCUGUGUGCAUGCACUAAUGUAUGUAUGUGAACGUUAUGUAAGUGUAUGUAUGUAUGUAUGCACGUAUUCAGCCCUCCGGGUGUAGUGUUGUUUGCGACAGAGGACCCCCUCUUCUCAGAGGCGACUCACUCGGAAACGACCACCAGGCGCCGUUUUGCGGCGGCGAAGUCUCCUACGCUGAGUCAGCAGCCCCAUCUGUAGAAAGGAAACAGCCCCGCACGAGUUGGUGCUGCGGUGGCGGUGCCCCCGUUAGCUCUGGGCCCUCGGUGUCUGCUUUUGACCUCCUUGCUUGGGGUUUGGCCAGCCGCGUACCUGGUAACUUCGGAUGGUGAUGAAGGCUAUCAUCGUAAUGAUGUCGACAAUAAGGCCGGAGGAUGCUUCGUGGUUUGUGUUAUCGUUGCGUGUGGUUGUCGCCCUUGUGGCGCUGCGGACCAUCCUGGAUUGGGAGAGGGGCCUCUGGGCCUGGGGACCCUGCAGCACAAAUGUGUGUGUGAUGUGAUGUGAUAUGUGAAAAUUGCUAAAAUGCCAAAACAACGCAUGUGCAUGGCAUAUGUAUCAGGUAAAACGUUGUCGCAAGGAUAUCCGUGCAGUGAUGCUCAGCCCUGCAGCACCCCCGCACCGUCCAAGCACAGCUUUGGGCCAGCAUAAGGCCCGAAAAGGUACUUUGGCAGAUUCUUUCCUAACUGUUGCGCCCACACCGGUCAAAACCGCCUUUCAAAUUUUCGCGUUUGGGGGAACCGCUGGAUGGACACACCGGGGCGCCCAGGAUCGUUUAUAGAAAGGAAUCGAUACCAGUAGAUUGUCUUAAGCGAGAUAGGAUCGAGAUUUGUAUACGCGAGCGGAAGCAGAAUCAGAGUUUUGUCCUGAGGCCGCAGGCCCAGGUGUAGCUGAAAGCCUGAUGUGAAGAGAGUUUUACUGUCGGGCCACUAGGCCCACUGUCAGGUUGGAACCUAGCCGGUUGUUGACAAGAUAAAAUGGGUGGGAGUCAUCCACGCCAAGUGAGGGCGAUACUCAUUACAAACUUCCUCGGCUGGUGCGUUCUGCUACCGUGCGCGGGAUUUGUAUGGUUCGAUUGUCCCCUAGAAAACAUUGGUCAGGCCGCGCCUUAUAUAUGGCAAACGCGCCCGCCAUUCGUACAACUGUCGUAUGGUCAACGUAAGACGCAGCUACCCUUUUCGUGCAGCAGCUACUUCAUUACGCAACGCCAGCUACCGGUUUACGCAGCUCCGGGCCAGGUUCACGGCGGCCAACGGAAAUGAGAAGAAACUAGUAGUGAACAUUUGUCAAAAACUGUUUCUCGGACCGAAGCUAGAUCGUAAGACGCCAAACACCUUUUUUUACGUCGCGGGAUCGAAACCUACAUGCGUCAGUCUUUAUGCAGAGUGCCGUAAGCCUAUGACCGUCCUCAACACGUUUAUGGUUUCUAAUUGACGGUAAGGCAACGUUCGGCCUCGUCCGGCUAUGCACGGAACAAUACGCGACCAAAGACGUCGCACUCAAUUAUCUAUGACCUGCUGAAGGUCGCUACAGAUGUAGCGGGCCCCCCUUCGAAAACCUGGCCAUCUGGCCGGGGCUAACCUCCACCAGGGUCCUCGGACUGCUUGUGGUAGUCCUCUAUGACUGCGGUGAAAGCUGCCUCUCCGGUGACCGCUGUGACAUCCGGGUCGGACAACACUUGUGCUGCGAGGUGUAGCAGCCAUACCAUUAAUUCGGCAUGAUUGCUCACCAGCAGCGGAACGCCGGCGGUGUCCAGUCCCGGGAUGAACCGGGGUGUCGCCCAGGCUCCUUCUUGUACGAGAGCUGUUAGAAAGGUAGCCAACUGAUUGGCUGACAGUAUUUCUGACAGUAGCGCCGUGGUGAUACUUUCCAGGGCGGGCCAGACGUUGUUGUAAUUAGACAGUGACAGCCGCCUCGGGUAUGAACCAGUUGAACCGUGGUCCUCUACUGGUCGCACUGUGUACUCCUCGAUGUCCUCCUUUUUUAACGUAUCUGUAGGCUGGUUGUUACUGUACUCCUUACUGUUGGUGCGAACCCGUUUCUUCCGAUAUUGAGGGCUGCCAUUACCCAUAGUGCUAUAGUCUAUCCGAGUCAGAUUCAUGACCCGGAUCGACCUCCUGAGUGUCACCAUUGGUGCUUAGGCACGGUAGGAUUGACCGCCCAUGAAAAGAGGAAUCCUGCUGAUGUACUUGCGCCAGCGGCCACUCCAGACAGGGGUGACUGUAUCCAGCAGUUUGUUGAUGGGGUUUUAUUGGGGGUUAUGACUGCUGACUCAGCAACCGUUUUUCAUAUGUUCUAGCUGACGAGUAUCCCAGUCAACCUCCGUCUUCUGCCUCAGAGGGCUCCUACGAUGUGCCUCCAGGCAAGGGUUGUGAUGGCGAAACCCUUAUGGGGGUCCAUUUCAUUCUGUGAAGGAUCUGCAAUCAAAAUCGAUCCACUGUGAUAGUAUAACUUCCUCGGUAUGCCGGUCCCUGGUUUUUCUGCUGCCGUACACAUUCAUGCAGGUCCGACCGCUAAUCUCUGGGCUGCUUUUCCCCCUCGAUGCUCCGAACCUCCGAAGGGACGAACAGUUGCUUUAUAGGGACUGUGAACGGCUGUCCGUAAGAAAAAUGGGCCCUCCCUGUCGGUCCCAAGCUUGUGUGGACUGCCUAGUCUGCCUAGUGUGUUCUGGCUGUGGGUAACAGAAGUACACUCCUCAGCAAACGUGGUAACAGGAGCUCCCGAGAACUCAAGACGGGAAUAGUUUCAGGAAAAGAACGGAAUGGAUCUGUAGGGGUCGACAUUGGCGGUCCAGGACCGGAGUGCGAGUCAUUGUCGUACUUGAACCCAUCUCCAGGCCAGACAUUUGCCCGAGCCCCUUCACUGUCAGAACUGACGAUGCUGUCGGUACUCCAUGCAUUUGCAGCCCAUUCACCGCUGGAGGCACUUUCCGACGGAAUCUCGUCUGACCUAAGUGCUUGCCGUACAAGUAUGUCGACGAUGUGUUCCAUGUCCAUGUCCCCACGGGCUGUUGAAUCACCAUCACUGAACUCUCCGCUGCUUCCCACAGGCGAAUCAAUGGUCUCAGGUGCGGAGCCUCUACUGAUAGCCGCAGGUGACAUCUGCCCUUGUGGUGUGGGCGUCUCAGGCUGCUGUAUUGAUGCCUCGGCCGUCAACAUGGAAGCUGUUUGAGUGUCGUCUUGCUCUGGUGAGUCGUCCCAAAGCCGAGCAGACGGGGGAAUAUUAGAGCUGGGGCUCCGAAGAAAAUGGAUAGCAAUGUUAGACCGCUGAUCCCGGUCCUUGGUGUAUUCCAGACGAUACUGUCGUACGAAAUGCUUGCUCGUAUUGGGUAGAGGAAGUCGGUGCCCAGGAGUAGCUGAUAGUUGAGGGCGGUGCUGACGAACGGACUCAGCAGCAUUGGAGGCUUCCAUGGCGGCUCUCAUCGUGGAGUCCCUACAUACGUAUGGAGUUCAAGGACCGAUUAGUGAGUGGCUGGAAGCAUACACGUUUAGAUGUCCAGCCAGACGUGUACCCGUCAGAUGGCAAGCAAACCAGGAAUGCACAUGGCGAAGUAUAAGCGUUGGAUGGGGUGGCGGAUUAGGGUGCCCCUCUAGCAGGGGAGAGCAGGGACUGCCCGGGAAAGGGGCCACUGGCGAAGUUAACCACCCUGUAACAACAUACAUUGGAUGGGUCUGGCGGCCGAACAAGCGGGCAGGAAGGAGGUGCUCCCGCAUAUCACAAAGUUUAUCCCGCGUUCAGCGAAUCUCAAGGUUAUGCAGUUUAGGCUUUGCUGUUGGGCAUUGGCGGCUAACAGAGGGUGUAAGGGACGGCGUUAUAUAUCUAGGUAGGAACGAGUAUGCCCUUGCUGUGGCACUGAUAGCCAUAUCGAGGAUGAGAAGCACAUUUUGCUGGACUGUCUGGUGCACGACAAAAUCAGAUCUGAUAUGGGCUUUCCACGCUUCGACCAUAUGAAGGACGCUAUGAAGUGGGAACCUGAACGCCUGGCAAGGAUGCUGGAACGUAUAUGGUCCCACCGCAACUCUAUCGUUCCCUUUGGUCGUUAGUAUCCUUCAUCACUUGUUUCGUUGGAAGUGCGAGGUAGGAUGGUGCUUAUAGGCGAUCUGGCAGCCCUUGUGCCCUCGGCUCGUAUUAGGGUGGUUUGCAGGUACGGGGAACACACCCACGACCAUGUAACAACAUCAACAAGGGGAUGUAAACCCGAAAUUUUCAUUUGUGUGCGUGUGUGUGUAUGUUUGUGUAGUAGGUCAACAUUUUGCGAGGUAUGUGUGUGUAUUUGUUACAUAUCGAUCUGGGCCUGGCACCCGGAAGCAGAAAUCACACCAGGCGCCGUCGUACGCCUGACCAACGAUGCUUCAUAACUUGCUUUGGAACCGAACGCAAAUAUGUUCGGUUUUCAUCAAAACAGCAGGCGUGUUCGGUCACAAGUGGACUUCAAAUUCAUGCCUGCACCCUCGGCCUACCGGCGAGAAGCUGACAUGGCGACGGUCCAGGAGCAAUCGAGGAGCUUACAGGCACAGUUCUUUAUCUUUGACAGUCGUGUCAGAAAGCUUGGAGAUGCUGUCUUCCGGUAUUGAGGUUAACCCAUGACUGUUCAUGCUGGCUUGUUGAACACGCUCUGCUUAACUUUGAUGGCAUGCCGUAUAAAUUUGCUCGGGUGCAUACUGCUGCUACGCCGUCCGUUGCAUAGCUACCAAAGCCGCUCCUGCGCAGGGAAGCGAGAAGGUGAUCAAGCGUUAUGCUAUAGAGGUGUGAUGGGAAGAGAGGAGGAUGACAAAGGCUGUGUAAACGUUGCCCACUUGCGUAUUCCCCUGGCGGCGUCGUAGCGACGAACUAAACAUGUUCGCGAGAUAUCUUCCCUGCGAACAUGUUACUGGAAUUUACAUGCUUUGUGGGCCUGAUGGGCCUGUACGUCAUUCUAUUGUGCGCACAAGUUGUUAUAUGGCGCGAAGAAUGCGAUUACAACAAAUGUCAUAUGCUGAGUCUGUGAUCUUUCAAACAUUAGCCUGUAUCCACAGAUUGGUGUUUCUUUGCAACCCAAUCCAUCGCUUUCGGGCGCAGCAAAGCCUCAAUACUAUAAAUAAAAGACUUUAAUAUGCCGGUCAUUGUUCUUAAGGUAGCUAAUCCCGUCGAGACGGAGNNNNNNNNNNNNNNNNNNNNNNNNNNNNNNNNNNNNNNNNNNNNNNNNNNGAGACGGAGCAGGCAGCAGGUCACGAUGCUGUUCACGGAUGACCGGCCCUAUUUGCCUAUUACUAGGAGGAGGCGAUUUCCAUGAUGGUGUCGUAUUUUGGAAAUCUGUUUGCAUGAUUUUGAAGGGACUAGCUACCUUAAGAACAAUGACCGGCAUAUUAAAGUCUUUUAUUUAUAGUAUUGAGGCUUUUGCUGCGCCCGAAAGCGAUGGAUUGGGUUGCAAAGAAACACCAAUCUGUGGAUACAGGCCAAUGUUUGAAAGAUCACAGACUCAGCAUAUGACAUUUGUUGCUGUUAGGUUUUCUCGUUAGUUGUUAACGACUUAACUAUCGUCGUAGACAAUCAUUUGAGAUAUGGAUAAUGUACGACCUUCCGGCGCCGCCUAGGCUCUGGAUGACUAUUUAAGUCGUUGUGUUGUUUAGAUUGUUAUGUCAUCGUUAUGACAUCUUGUGGGUUGUUAGCAGGCUUAAGUCGCUCGGCCAUCAGUGUAACUAUCUUGACAUCACAANNNNNNNNNNNNNNNNNNNNNNNNNNNNNNNNNNNNNNNNNNNNNNNNNNAAACGGAGCCCAUGCCCUUUCAGUUGGUAUCGAGACCAUGAUGGCCGAGCGACUUAAGCUUGCUAACAACCCACAAGAUGUAAUAACGAUGACAUAACAAUCUAAACAACACAACGACUUAAAUAGUCAUCCAGAGCCUAGGCGGCGCCGGAAGGUCGUACAUUAUCCAUAUCUCAAAUGAUUGUCUACGACGAUAGUUAACGACUUAACAACUAACGAGAAAACCUAACAUGUGAAAAUUUGCUACAUGCGGCAUGCUCGGGUGCUUCAUGUUUGACCACAGGCCGCGUCAUACAACUGCAAGAAUACGGCCCGCCUGCAGGACCGAAUGCACUGCAAUAUUACAGAAUUAUAAACCCUUCACAAACAUGCAAACAGAUUUCCAAAAUACUACACCGUCAUGGAAAUCGCCUCCUCCUAGUAAAGGCAAAUAGGGCCGGUCAUCCGUGAACAGCACCUAAGCUAACAUCGCCCACAAAUUUAUCUGAAUUAAUCCCAUUGGUCCAGUCCAUCGAUAGAGAAUUAGGAUAGCUUCAGACGCAACUUAAAGCGGGGUGAGGUAAGAUGAAAUGUUACACCAUGACUGACGGACGGACUGACUGACGGACUGACUGACUGCAGUGAACCCAGGUUGCUCGGCCCCCCGAAUAGCGCUUCGCGCCCGGGGCCUCGCCCAAACGUGAACACCCUCACCAGCAUGAAUCCAGAAAUGGUGGAGCUUGUGGACCUGCUAGGUAAAGCAGAGUACGUGCUCGUCGAGGAGCUCAAUAGUGUACUCGCUGAGGAGGGGAUUGAGUUGGUGGAGCAGGUCUCUGGUGCAAUCAACAAGCUGGGCAACAAGUUCAUAUCGAGCGCUGAAAAGGAGGCGCUCCAGGCGGCUCUUAUAGGGGUAUUUGAGAAGCUGACACGCUCACCCGAGGAGGUGCGGACUGCCAUUUCACAGUGGCCUGAAGUGAUGCGCUGGCGACGCCGGCGUGUCGCCUACGCACACCCGCUGGGCUUUAAUGUGCUCGACGAGGUCAAAUUUGGCCAACUUAAAGCUCAGGUCCCAUGCAAAGAGGUUUAUACAUCGGUGCGCUCAGCAGCCAAGGUGCUCGUUGCCGCGGGGGAGCGUGUACACGGAGGGAGAGCAACACGUUGGAGGUCCGUUGGCGGCUCGUCGGGACUUGUGUGAUUUGGAAUACGUCAGCAGGGGUGCUGCUGCGGGUUUUAUGUUUGGCGGAGGGAGUUGGGCUGGUUGCGAGGUUGUUCCCAUGGACCACCUAGAAAGUGAUGAGGACACACAAUCGCUCCGCAGAUUCCUCCCGGUGGCAGGAAAACUAACUACUUUUAAUUUUCAGGACCAAGAACAAUUUUUCAUUCCGAACUCGGAAUAUAUUCCGCAAAAAGAACGCUGGUGCCGCCCCGCUACCUGCCUCACGAAUAAAAUCUGCAGCUGGACUGGCUAUCCUUCAAACAGGCUUCGAACAUGCCCUCCGCAAGGUUGGCUUUAUCCCGCCGCCUUCCCGCCCUGUCCACGACCUCUGCCAGCGCAAAAGGGCCCCACGCCUGGCAGCCAUACAACAGAAUUGCUCGGACUUGGGUUGCAAAGCACCGCAUUCGCACGUCGGGGGCAAACAGCUUCAUUUUGUCCAGCUUUGUGCUUAAGGAAAACAUAGCGGACCGACCUGUAUUACAUAACUGCUGACGAUAUGCACUAAACAUUAGACCCUUUUUCAACCCCCUGACUAAAAGGCCGUUCUGACCCGUAUACCAAGCCCAGAUAGCAAGCGCUAUCUUUGGCAGGUACUACCUGGCCUGAUAGCCGUAACUGUUGACAUCUCUCGCUAAGUUCCGACUGCUGGGUGCCAUCACAUGCGAAAACAAGCCUUUCACACUUUGAGACAUUUGGUCGCAUCCCAAAGGCUUCGUAAAACAAGUCCACAAGAUGUAGCAACUCAGACAUUCACUCUAGUGACGUCGCUAGCAGACUAACAUCGUCUGCGUACAACAGUAUGGAGAGGUGCUUGCUGUCCACAAGGGGUGUGUCAUGCUUACGUAACCCAGCUUCUACGAGGUCAUGAGUAUCACUCCUUGCUUAGACUCAAACUCUCCCCCCACUUUCUCAUUCACCUUAAUCACCAUGGACACCUUCUCGUACGCUUUUCUCAGAGCGUCUAGCGUCUAGCAGGUACCCUAUCAAAGGCCUUCUCAAAGUCAAUUUGUACUAUUAUCAACAGCCUCUGCCCCACGAUCCGAUGCCGCCUGACCAGGUGUUUGCCAUCUGACAGGUACAGAUCUGGCUGGACAUCUAGACGCCUAUGCUUCCACCCACCCUAAGGCACUGAUUGGGUCAGUAACCCAUGGGUUACCCAUCUUCAACCCCCGGUAGCUGUUUGGUAACCCCCUUGUAAGUUCCUACCCAGCGGGAGGGGUAACACGGCCCCAGGGUAAACCCCUCCGUUGCCCUGGACUAUGGACAUAUGUAUGGGCCUAUAGGCUACUCGUCUUAUAUGCUUCCCACAUCGUAAAUUCCGCUUAAGGAUACUUUAAAAAUGUAAACGUUAGCAACCUACAGUAUCGUGGUAUCUCGGGAAGCAUCGUUUGCCAUUUCAACCUUAAGGUCUCUAAUGCUAGCAUCACACACGCAAGGAAUAAGCAAUAAGUACCUAUGUCUUGGCCUGUUUGGCUUGUAGAUGAGUACAGGAGAAGGGGCGAAUGCUGGCAGCACACACGCAAGUCGACGACAGGUCUUCACUAAAUGGAUGCCUUUGGUUGUCAUCCAAUGUUAUAUAAUAGUUGUCAUUGUGAAACAUCAGGCAGUCAGUCCUGAGGUCGGCCGACAUAUUACCGGCCGGGGGUGGUCGUACGCAUAUGUGCAUGCUGCUUUACCUCCAUUGAUACUCCUGACAAGCACAUUCAAGCUGAAUCACAGCUAAUUAGCUUGUAAGCUCAUAUAGUCUGGUCUUUUAAUUAGACGGACAUGCUACAAUAAGCGAUGACCACUAUCACGAAUUCAGUCAAUCAUAUUCACUGCUGGCAUUGUUCCUAUUGACCAUAGAUACAAUGCACACAUAUAAUCCACGUUGCAAUACUGGUGCGUAUGGUUGCAAAAAUGGUGGCGUUCUAGCGUUCGCGCGCGCGGACCACCACAACAAGACCCUCGACUGUCUUUCUGCAGCACAGGCCCACACUUAUGGUGCACCUCAUUUAGCAAGACAUCCAGUGACAUCCAAGGAUUUUUACCUGAGGGUGCCUUACACUUCGCCGGGUGUGACCGUGUUCGGGGUGUCGGAUCUCCCGCCCAAGACCUUCGACGCUCUUAGGAGAGCCUGCUCUGAAAACGAGCAGACUCUGGAUAGUGUUGCAUAGGUCGUGCCUAGAGCUGGAAGUAGCAGGUCGGGACGGGGCACUUAAGCUACUGGCCGACCUUAAGGUAAUGUAAGCUUACAUUGCCGCCCGUUGGCUGGUCCGCGAGUUUUAGGUCUUGGGUCCGGAGCGGCGGUAAGUGCCUGGACCUUUUGAUAGGAAUAUUUAUUGGCUUCACUGGCGGCUUCUCGCUGGCGGCGGUCCCCAAUAUGCUCUGCCUAUGUAUGCCUCUUCGUCCUCCUCCUUGCAUCUAUGCUGCAGCUGUGUGCCUUAUCCUUAGGUCUAGGUUUCUACACAAGGCAUGUUUUGGUGCGUCAAUGUUGAUAAUUGGGCAUUCACAAGUGAUUGGUGAAGACAUGUAUGUUUGCGUGUGUAGACAGGCGAGACAGGUGCAGGUUACCCUGUCUGUUACCCAUCAGUAGUGUAUUACCCCAACCCCUUUGUUACCCCUCGGUAAGGGGUUACCCCUACCCCGGGGUUAGGUUACCCACCUCCCUUCGUACAUAGCCACAUGGGUAACCCCUAACCCUACACCCUGGGUUACGCUUAAGGGGGGGUUACCCCCCGUUUUAUGCCAUAGGGUCCCUCCCCCAUGUAGUCGGUGGGCGAGAGGGACAACCGAAUGCCGCCUUUUCAUACAGGCAGGUUUACAGGCAGGUUUACAAUAUGUGGACGGACAGACAAACAGACAGACAGACACACAGAUGUUAUUACAUUGUAUCGUUCGUCGCAUUUCCGAAGGGUGAACGUGAGCAAGAGGCAAAAGCGAGUGCCACCUUGUCGCUUCCGGGCUUCUCUCCGCUUUUGAGGAAAGCGGACCGUGAGACGGUCCCCGGGUGAUAUAUCCCUACUACAAAUUUGGUCAGAAACCGUUCCUUCAACACCGCGAUGAAAAAAGCCAAAAUAACUCUACCUCUCGGACCUUCCUUUCAAGGCCAUGAUCAUAUACAUGUAAUACGUGCAAUGGCAUCAUAUGUGGUUUUUUUCGAACGUAAAGAAGUGUCACUCUUAUUCUACCUGAUCACCUCUGCCGUACUCUUACUUAACGCACUAUACACUGCUCGCAAGAUACGACCUUGCUAGCCGUCAUCACUACGUACCUCCCCGCCGCAACCCCGCCGGCAGAUGCCCCGCCCGCGCUCCCCAAACAGGAGAGCUGCAACCGCCCGGAGGUAACCGAACAACGAAAUAACCGCCCCUACCUCAACACCCCUCAAAAAAAACGCAGCGUCACCCAUUUCCCAAGUCCAGGAAACGGCCGCGCCCCAAGCCAGGCAGAAAAUAGCUCUGUGAAGCACGUUGGAAGGCCGAGGGCCCGUCCGACCAUCAGGGCACUACACACCCUUCCUCCGCACACACCCAGUUAGGUGCUGCUCCUCCGCAUUGAUAGCACCAACUGGUGCAUAUACCGACCUGUGCUGACGUGUGCAGGCACGGCAAGGCCUUUAGCCUUUGGGAUACUGUUGAGGUAAAAUUUUAAUGGAGGAUAUUUUCCUCUCAGAGGAUAUUUUCCAGAGAUGAACAGGUGCAGAGCAUCAGGAGGGGUCACGACACUUCAUAUUUAUGUACAGUUAUGUUUGGCGGACGAAGAGAGAGAGAGUUCAACUCGUUGGCAGCGGUUGACAAAGCAUUACUUACCCGCCUAAUCAACCACGACUUUUAUCCCCUACACGACAAAAUCCAUGCUGUCGUACGAGAAUAGAAGGAAGUACGAAACAGAACUCCGCGGGAAUCCGGAAGCCAGGUUGCAUAUGCAUCGUUGGAGCUCAACGAAGAACCACCUUCAAAACCGAAGUCGUUAUAAGCAGGAAAUCAGGAACUGUACAUAUUCUGAUGCCUCUAAAAAUGGUCAAGCAUAAUUGAAAUUUGGAACGGUUGCAGUACCGUACGAACAACCUCCUGUCUACAUGGAUGGGUAGUCCAUCACUUCUGAGACUGAAGAGCAGGUGAUCCCACCGAGGGCCGCAGCGGUCUCAGCCGCAGCGAGCAACACGCCCCUGUGUUGGUGCUGGUGUUGGUGUUGGUAUGAACACACGAACUCCCGUCCUUGCGGGAGAUAGCUUAGGCGGUCUUUCCGUUGGGGCUGAGCAGCAGCCCCUGGCCAAUGUCAGGCCUGGUCAGAUACUUGUAACGCUUACACACCGCGUAUGGCGUUUUACGGAACUUGUCCAGUUCCGUCUGUGCAGCUGCUCACAGCGCCUGUUGACCGACCCCUGCCGACUACCGCGCCCCUGGUCGCGUCUGCAGUCUGUAAUGUCCGUGCGGGUCUCGUACCAUCGUACCGUUGUACCGCCGUACAACACAACACGAGUGUACAGCGGGAUCCUGCAUAACCACCUGCGCUAUCGUCCAGCUGCUUGCGGCGGACGGAUGGCAAAACGUAUUUUUGAACAGCAAAUCCAUUGCUCAUCAUUUCAAAACCCACAGCUGCUACACGAUUACCCUCUUGCGGGUGAGACCCACGCUGCGCUGCCGCACCAGGCGCAUCCGCAUUGGCUGCGCCGGCUGCGGCGCUGCGCCGCCGCCCGGCAGCCAUCCGGGCCCUGAAUCUGAUGACCCGUGGGUCAGUGCGGCUGCUGGCCCACAGGUCAGCCGUCCGCCCGCAUCCAGCCGCUCCACCACCCUCGUCAUCUGUAACGCUUCCUGGGACCCCUCCUGCUGCUGCUGUUGUUGUUGUUGUUGUACGGGAAGCUGCAGUACGGGAAGCUGCUGCUGCUGCUGCAGCCAGUGUCCGCCGUGGUGCGGCUGUCCUAGAGGCCGUACCGCGGUGUACGAGGCGGUCCCGCUGCUGCCGCUCAUGGCGCCGUCAAAGGCUGCAAUACUGCCAUCGCCGCCGCAGCAACAGCUGCCGCUGAUGCCAAUACUGCCGUACGUUCGGAGGAAUGCCUGCUCCUUUCCGUACAUUCUAGCCGAAGCCGAGUAGGCGCGACGGUCAAGCCGUUCGACUUCCGGGUCGGAGUCCCAGCAUGGGAGGCCCGUCCCAGCGGUGCAGUGGCACUUAACGGCGGAGUCAUGCUCGGUCCUGAGCUGCUGCUGCUGCUGCUGCUGCGGGGAGUACUGGUGACCUGAUUGCUGCUGCUGAUGAUAAUGUUGGUGGUGUUGAUAUUGUUGCUGGUGCUGAUGCUGGUUCUGGACAAGCCGAUCGCGCAGCGCCGGUGCCGGCCGAUAGGCUUCAGCGCCCCGGCUACCGCUGCUCAGCCCUGGCCCACCCGCAACACCCCCUUCAGGCCGAUCACGUUCACGGUCCCCCCCUCGAGCUAUCCCCGCCGUCGCCGCCGCUGCAGUCGCUGCCGCCGCCGCCGCCGUCGCCAGCAUGGGACUAGCGCAGCUUCCGCCAGAGCCGAGAACCUUGGAGUUGUUAUUGCUCCGACACUGCUCCAGGCACUCUGUCCCUUCCUGGUCCACAUACAUCGUUGAAUAUAUGGGAGGGUAGCCGCUCCAACACAUGCCCCCAGGCGACGGCGCUGAGGCUGCGACAUAACCUUGGCCCUGGGUUUGCAGGUACAUAGCGCCGUCGACCAGCCUGCCGUGGGCCAAUGCCGGCAGGGCUGGUGGUGUCGGAUGGCGUUGGCCACUCAAGCAUUGUACGAUGGCCCAGUGCUGCGAGGUUCCGUACGGCAGGAGGACCUCAUGUGGGUCGGCGGCGGCGACGACGGGGGCGGUGGAGCGGGCUGAGGAGCGCUGGUCAAAGGAGUGACAGUGGCGGAGGAGGCUCGGGGAAUCGCUCGUUGGCGGGUUUGGGGACGGCAACGGCUGCGCGGACAAUUCGGCGUGCAGUGGAGGAUCAGUACGGCCUUGGCGCGAAGCAAGCAGGCUGGCAGGUAGUGGGGGUUUGGAGAGGCCUAGAAGCCUGAGCAGCGCCGCAGGCUUUCCUGUAAGGCAAGGCGCGGAAUUGCAUCGGUGCAGCGCGAGCUGCACCUCGGCAGCUGCGCCAGACCCGUGGGGUUCCGUCGUUGCUAUUCACGUUUCCAGUUUGCGCUUUGUGAUUGGGUGCCGGAAUCCAGAUACACUGGAUCAGAGCUAGCACCGAUUCCCCGUCCAACGCCUGCAGUAGGACACAGGCGCUAUGUGAAUAUCCUUCCGAGUGCGCUGUUAAAUGUUAAGGUGUGUAGUAGGAUAAUUAUUUGGGCAUUUCCGGUACCAACCGGAAACGUGGAGCACAUGGCAAGGUCCUCAUUCAGGGUUGUCAAACACCGGCAGAGGUUCCGCCAUGAGGACUCCAUGCCAAAAGAUAAUAUCCAUCGCGAGAUUUUUGAAGGGAGUGCAGGCCUUGAAUGACCCACCUUAAGGAUCUGUCGCAGUUGUAGAGACCUUCGCCUCGAUACAAAGUCGACAGCAAUCCACCUGCACAAGUCCUAUUCGAUGCUGCGCUCCUUCAAUUUCUGUCAAUGCUUGCCAUACCGUGCUCCGAUCCCGUUAAUAACAACGUUAUAGUUUAUCGACUCUCGUCAAGCUAACACGCACGGAGUCGUCAAACUCCCAUAUAACUUACUAAGCCCCUAAUGUACAGGAAUCCAUCGCGAUAACGGAGUGAUUUUUUGGAGACCACAACGAAUGAGUAGGGAGCCUGUAAGUACGGAAACUUGCCGCGACAGUUAAUGCGCAAAUCUAGCCAGGUCGCUUCUGGCGCCAUAUUAGCUUAAACGUGCAUAUCUAGGCAUAUAUUAUAAUUUUAUACCUGAGCUUGCGUGCUAAAUCUCUAGCUCAGCUGACCGCAGGUCGACUUCAAAAGACGACCAGGUAACAAGGGAAAGGUCCUUUCCCUUGUUAGUUACUCUUUGCACUGGAGGUUUGUGCCUAUGGGUACUGUUUCAAUACCUUUGGGCUUGCCCCAUAUGCGAAUCCAUGGCACCAACAGUCAGCGCUGCACGCACAUCAGAGCCUUUCGUUUUGGUGGUGACAUCCCCCUAGUGUUUGACGCAGCUGACUGGCGAUACAUAUUUACUUAUGUCUUCUUGACUCCGUUUAAGCACAAUGAGCGGAGUGUAUAAUAAAUCGUUGCAGCCGCGACGACAAGCUCGCUGGAGUUUCGCAGCAAUCCGACGCACGCCUGCUGGCCCGCAUUUUUAUGUGCGAAGGUUCAAGAAACGAAUUCUCAUUCUGAUUCUCAUUCAUAGGCUGGUCAUCAAAAUUAUCGCUGUACCCGGCUUCCCGUUUCGCAUCGGCUACACCCGCAGCGUUCGAGCCGCUUACUGCAAUCUUAAUGCCCCAGCGACAACAUGAAGCCUGCCUCUCCCCUAACCUCUCCCCUAACCUCUCUCUCUUCCCCCCUCUCUCUCUAGGCCCCGCGCUCUCUGACUGACUGCUUGUGAUGUCUGAGAGAAGGGGAGAGGCAGGCAAGCACAACCGCACGCAGAGAGGCAAUGUAUACGGGCACAAACACCUCAUCCGCCGGCAGGAAGCUGCGAUCGCAGCUGACGUGCAACGACCUGCCAAUACCACCCGGGAUUCAAGCAGGAAAGAGCUGGGAAACGCAGCCAGCUUUGUUGCUACGGAUCCUAGAGCUGCUGCGGCUAUGCCGGGUCAAUGUACGGCGCGGGGGCCAUAGCACAAGACACGAUUAGCACAAUACAAUGUACGUGACAUAGAAACCAACCGAACAGCGGGUGUGAACAGCAUUGCAUGAUGCGGAACGGAGCGGUCACAGCAGCAGCAGCAGCAGUAGCAGCAGUUUGCCGUGACUUGGGCAUCGCAUAGCAUCGCAUGGCAUUGCGCGGAUGACGAUUACCCGUUAAACUACACAAGCGCAUUGGCCGCCUGACGCCCUUGUAAUGGUCACAUGCUACGGAACACACAUCCGUCUCCUCCAAACACUCGACCUCUACACGCGCACAUUCACUCACUCACUCACCCACUCUCACCUCGUCACGUCCUCAGCGCGGCUCGGAUCACCAAACAGACACACCUUCACACUCUCGCUCACUUGCUGAGUCACUCACUCCUCAUGCACCCAUCGGUGUAUGUUGGGGGGGAAAGACGAACCACACACGAUUGAAGCUGCUGCCAGGGCAAGAGAGUAUCAAACGUAUAGGACUGACCGAAAGGCGUCCGUGAAGACCGUGACCUCGGGAUGACGAAGUGAAGAAGAUGUCGGAAAGACUACCUACCUAAGCCGCCAGAACUAAAAAAGAAGAAAUAGUAUUGCCAAGCCGUAAAGAAGUAGGUGUAGAAAAGUAGGUGUGAAGGCGGCGGAAAAGUAGUAAAAGCAGUGCUGUCGUAAAGCUGGCAUAAAGUUGCUGGCCUGGAGAAUUAGCUGAUUUGCUGGUACUGAAAGGCUGUCAGUAUGCAAGUGCUCCUCCCAACCCCCCAAACUAAAACGCGCGACCGACCCGACCGACCCGACUAUCCUAGUCCGGCUAGCCGACCGACGCCAACGCGAUAUAUGUUGGGGGGGGGGAAAGAGGCGUUUCUCUUUUGUCUUUGCCAGAGCCUUUGCACAGAUACACGCACAGACACACGCACAGACACACGCACAGAUACACGCACAGACACACGCACAGACACACGCACAGACACACGCACAGACACACGCACAGAUACACGCACAGACACACGCACAGACACACGCACAGACACACGCACACGCACACGUGCAGUGCCCCCCACGUCUCCAGUUGCUGCCCCCACACCGUCGCAUCGUAACACCCCUUUCCACACACCGAAAAGGCCGUACGGCAGUACGAUAUCUUUUCGCAACACACGAGGGUCUUUAUGAAAAGUUAUUAAACGCCUCCGGGUGUAGGACUCCCCGUCUUCCUCCACGCUCUGGCGAACAGCGUCGUGGUGCCAAGUCCUCCUAGAAUGGUGUUACCGCGCUAAGCCCCUAUAGCGGAGAACUCACUCCACCUCCGGGACGCUAAACACUCCAAGCACCUAUCCAUCCCCCGCCCCUUCCAAGAGAGCUGACCCUCUUCCCCGUAUCCCCCCCCACACACACACACCCACACCCACACACGGGCCCCCUAGAAAGGCACGGCAUGUCUGUGCGGUGCGCGGCCUCACAUGCAGCCGGCCGUUCUUGCUGUUGGUCCCCAAACCUGCCGCCGCUCUUCCUGCCGCCGCCGCCGCCGCCGUCGCCGCCGCCGCCAGUUGUGGCAGAGCAUAAUAACCCGUGCUUGCGCUCCUAUGCGGGCUGGCCGGCACUGCCGUACCGGUAAUCCUGGCGGACCAGCUGUGUAACGCCACGCAGUCGCUCAAGCAUCCAUUCACUCACUCACAAGCAGUGGUACCACCUGUUGAAUGUAUGUAUGUAUGUAGCACAUUCUCGCCAUAGCUGGCAUCGCCAUCCCGGCUAUUACGUGACUACUGCUACUGCUGUUGCAGCCGCUUCAAUGCCUGGUAGGACGCGCGCAGCUCCUCCGUGAUGCUACUGCCGCCGCCGCCGCCGCUGCUGCUGUUGCCGCCGCUGCUGGAGCUGCUGCGAAACCUUGGGACGCUACCUGACCGCCGCAGAGCGGCCCGACGGCUCUCUGGACCCAGCGCCGCCGCCGCCGAAGCCACAAUCGCCGCCGCAGCUGCGGCUACCGAGUCGGGCCGUCGGCGGCCGCGAGCCGCAGAGGGCUGGCGGUGCGGCGGCUCUUCUGGCGCCAUCCCCGUCGCCGCCGCCGCCGCCGCAGCAGCAGCAGGGCGACCCUGCAUCCACGGAUACGCGGCGGCCUCCGGUGCGAAUGACUGUCCGGUGGGGCCGCCCUGUCGCAGCUGGGGCGUGGUGGCGGCGGCGGCGGCUUCCCCAGGGCGAGACGUGACCCGCCGCGUGCUGGCCGGCCGCGUACGUACGGCACCACUAACACCAGCACUGCCGGCAGCGGCGGCGGCAGCGGCAGGAGUGGCAGUGACGUUAGCGGUGGGAGCUUUCUGUGAGACGGAUCCGGAUCCCACGACGGCCUCCAUCCGAAACCCAGAUCCAAAUCGAGAUCCAGAUCCAGAUUCGGGUCCUGGUCUUCGGCGAGAGGCGUGAGGCCCCUGGCUCGGUGCUGCAUGUUGCGCCUUGGUGGAGCUUCGGCUGCUGCCGUACGGCUGCACGGCACCGCCGCUACCGCCGGUGUGGCCCGUCAGGGCAUGCAUGUGUACGGUGGAGCCCCCCCCGGCCGCACCUCCACUACCCGCGGCAGCACGCAGACGGGAGCCGCCUUUUGCUGCCGCCGCCGCCGCAGCUGCAACUGCCGUAGCUUGGCCCGAGGCCGCCUUUUCGAACACGGCAGGACCUGCCGUACGGCGGCCUGCGGGUGUCACGAUGGGAGCGGUACCAGCGGGGGUGGCCGCGGUGGUGCCGACGGAGGAAGAAGGACCAGGUGAAUGCUUGCCGCCGUACACAUAGCCUGGGUCGCCGCCGCCGCGGCGGUGACCCCGGGCCCCUUCGUCGUCGCCGCUGCUCCCGUCACCCUCCGCGUCGCGACCCCAUUCCGCCUCCCCGGUGCUUCCAACACCGCCAACGCCAACGCCAACUCCAACGCGAGCAGAUUGCCCGGCGAUGCUGACUACACCGUCCUCAUCCUCAUCCUCAUCCUCGUCAUCGUCAUCGUCGUCGUUAUACUCCUCUCCAUCGCCGCCGCCGCCGGUACUGCCGUAAGACAGCCUGCUACCAACGUCGCCGGCUCCACCGCCGCCGCCGGUGCUGCUGUCGUACAGCAGCCCGCCGCUAAGGUCGCCGGCACCGUCGCCGCCGCCGUCGCUGCCAGCCAGGCACGACACCACUCGCCGCCACACCACUGAGUGGUCACUGUCCGGAGACGAGCCACAACCUUCCACGUGGCCCUCCCCCUCCUCCUCCUCCUCCUCCCCCUCAUCACCAUCAUCACCAUCAUCAUCCUCAUCAUCACCAUCAUCAACCCCCUCCCCCUCAUCCGCCGGUUUUCCACUGCCGCCGCUGCUGUGCCAGCCACCAGCGGCAGUAGGGCCAUCACACACCUCGCGGGAUGCAGCAACCGUCGCCACCGCAGCUGCAGCUUUGAGUCCCCGUACGACACCGCUGUGUGCCUCCCCGGCGCCGCCGCGGCUGAUGGGCGCGUGCCCUUGUGCUGGCGGCGAUGCCAGCGACGGCGCCACCGACAGCUGCGGCGGUGAAACUGCCGCCGCUACCGCCGCCCGCUGCCCCCCAUCCCCGGUCAGGCCCGAUGGCGCAGCGGAGGCGGCUGCACCUAGGAGGGCGAUACGCAGCCGCUCCAGGUCUCUGACUCCAACAGCUCCGGGCCCACCACCACCAACGACCCACGGGUCGGGCGUGUCUCCUCCUCCUCCUCCUCCUACCACUUCUGUUGGUGCUCUUAUUCCCCGAGCUGCACUUCCCCCGAACCUGCCUCCUCCACCACCAGCAGCAGCGAAGGGCCCCCUCACUCGCAUCCACUCCCCUCCAGUCUCUCGGCGCUCGUUCCGCCGCUGCCUGCCAUCCUCAUGACCGUCAGGUUUUACGUUGCAGCCUCCUCCUCGUUCCACUCCCUCCUCCUCCUCCUCCUCCUCCUCCUUCCCCUCCUCUUCAUCGUCAUUUGUUUGGCUAUGCUGGCGCUCCUCCUCCUCGUUCUCCUCCCCCUCCUCCUCCUCCUCCUCCUCCUCUUCAUCGUCGUCGUCUUUCCCUCGGAAAGCAGGCGGGCCCCUUCCGCUGUAGGGCAUCGCACCGAAGUGACUGCUUCCGCCCCCCGCUACCCGAUGCACCCGACCGCCACCGUUGCCACCGCCGCCACCUCCCUCCGCAGCGCCCUUCCCAAUGGUGACGUCAUCGCGCCCGCGCUCGUCGGGCCGCGGAGUGAAGCUGGGCGCAGGCAGCGACGCCAGCGGCCCCAAUCGGGGUGUCGACUCCGAGGAGGAGGAGCUCUCUUUUACGUCCUCUUCUCCGCUCCCCUCCUCCAUAGACGCUCGAAGAAACCAGUCCUGGCGCUGCAUCACCGCUAUCGCCGCCGACGCCGCAGCAGCCUCUCCCGCUUUCGUCGCUGUCUUUGUCGUUACGACCUCUGCUGCCGCCGCCGCGGUUGCCGCCGCCGCCGCCGGCGCCGCUGCCGCUGCCUCGGAGAUCGCCACCGCCGCUGCCUCCUUCGCCGCUGCCCUCAGGCGCGCCGCCACUACAGCCCCUAGGCUAGGAGCUUCGGAGGGCGCCACGGAGGGCGGGCAGGAGGAGUCUUGGGAAUGCGUGGAGGCUAACAACGGACGACGGAAGGCGCCUGUGUCCCGUGUACGACCAAAACCGUUACCGCCGCCGCCGCUGCCGCAAUCGCUAUCAGAGUCGGCACCGUACUUGCGUCGAUCGCAAUAGCCGUACCCGAAGUCGGACGGCGCAGUGUCGUCCGUGUCGGUGCCGCUGCCAGGCCGCUGCGGCGGCCGCGAACGAGAACGCUGCCGCUGCGCACCACCAACACCACCACCAACACCACCAUCAGGAGCACCAGCAGCCGGUGUUGGUGUGGGCGAGAGGUCAAAUGCGACGGUUCGGGCGGCACCAGUGGUGAUCGUAGCUGCGGCGAAGGCCCCGCCACCGCCACCGCUGAGAACGCGUCCCCGUAGACGGCGGGGUCGGCCCUUCUGCUGCAUGUUAUGUCCCCCCAGCGCUAGAGGAACUGUGGCGCCGCCGCUGCUGUCAUCGCUUUCACUGUCACUCGAGUCAAGCCCAGUUCUACCUGAGCCGCUUCCUCCAUCCUCAAUGCCGUUGCCCCGGCUGAUUCUCCCCAGGGGGACGCGGCCGGGAGCGUCCCCGCGGCCUCCGCAGCCGCCGCCACCGCCGCCGGCUGGUGCACCGCCCGCAGACGAUCGUCGCCUUCUACCGGCGACUAGGACCAUGUUCGCCCAGGCGGAGGCGCCGCUACCGCUGCCACUGGUACAUCCACCUCCGCUGCUGCUGCUGGUGCGGGUAGUGGCGGCGGCGGCGGCGGCAUCGGAGGAGCCUCCUCCUCCUCCUCUGCCGCCGCCGGACCAUUGAGGCUCCGAUAGNNNNNNNNNNNNNNNNNNNNNNNNNNNNNNNNNNNNNNNNNNNNNNNNNNNNNNNNNNNNNNNNNNNNNNNNNNNNNNNNNNNNNNNNNNNNNNNNNNNNNNNNNNNNNNNNNNNNNNNNNNNNNNNNNNNNNNNNNNNNNNNNNNNNNNNNNNNNNNNNNNNNNNNNNNNNNNNNNNNNNNNNNNNNNNNNCGCCGUUGGCGCCGCUGCCUUCCUCAUCGUCAUCCUCAUCGUCAUCACUGUCGUCAUCGCUAUCAUCCUCCCCAUCAUCGUCGUCAUUGUCAUUUUGGAAUGCACGCGCUUGAGGUGGGACGAAUGUCGUACACAUGUUCCCGCGGUCAUGCAUCAUCGCCGGGGAGUUACCGUGAUACCAUGGAAACGGGGACGCCGCCGCCGCCGCCGCCGCCGUCUCUGGCAACGACUGCAUCACGCUGGCGCGGAGGGCCGGAGUGAUUGACGGACGUUCGCGGCGGGCUGAGCCUUUGGCGGCGCCGCCGCCGCUACCACGGCGAUGCGAAUGCUGCGGUUCUAAUCUCGCCGGCGCGACCCCAGAUCGCACAUGGUUGAUCGUCCCGGAAGGUCGUACCUUGCCGUACCUUAGUGGGGUCGUCGCGGCGGAGAUGGUGGAGCCCGUAGGGCUGUUGACGGAGCCGCCACCGCCGCCGCCGCCACCGCCGCGGCCGCCGCAGCUGCUACUGACGCACGGCGACGUAGACGAAGACAAGAUCUGCGCGCGGUACCGACCUGUCCGGGUGCUGGCGGCGCCGCCGCCGACCCGAGUAGCGGCGUCGACCAUCAGCGCCGCGUGCGCCUGCAGCCGGCGACACACCCGCCGGAAACCCGCCGGCGUCUCGCCCCGCACGCGUUUGUCAUCGUCGCGAUCUCCUGCCUGCAAUCUUCCUUUCUUCGCAUCCACACUGCCGGUCCUUUGGCGCCCAUCGCCGCCGCCGCCGCCGCCGCCAGCGGCCGCCAGGAUAGCCGCCAGCCCCGCAGGCAGAACCUCCAGUGCCGCGCCGCCAUUCCGCGGCGGCGGCGGCGGUAAUGUUGACGGCAGCGUCAACCCCUGCCCUCCGGCGGCAGCUAACCGGGAUGGCGACGACGGCGUCGCCUCCCGUGCAGCCGUACAACCCGCCUUCUGCCCCUGCCACUGCAGCUCCUGGCCGCUUCGUUUGAGGCUUGCCAGACGAGGGGCCGCCGCAACGGCGGCGGCGGCGGCGGCGCCAGCGGCAGUAGCGGCGACGGGGGCGCCGGAGAGGGUGACGGAGGUGGCGGUCGUGGUGGAUGUGGAUGUGGUGGUGGUGGUGGUGGGGAGGUUACAGCUGGGCGGGUGGGAGGCAGUACUGGACUCGAACCCGAGUGUGCUGCUGCUCCCACAGUGUCGACCACCACCAUCACCUCCCGUAGCAUUAGCAGUAGUAGCGGCAGUAGCGGCAGCAACGGCGGCGGCGGCAGUCUGUCGCUGCUGUGACGGCGGCGGCGGGGAGGACUGCUGCUUGGCGUAAUGCCGCAGGAAUGCCUCCAGCUUUUCCUGGUAUAUCGCAUCGUGUGUGUGUGCGGGGGGGGAGGGGGGGAUUUGCGAAUGGACAGCAUAUGGGCUUUUUGCAACGGCGGCUGAGAAGUGUGGGGGAGAAGUGCCGUACGUGUAUCGUAGAAACAAUGGUAAGGUGUGUACUAACCGCCCAUGUCUCACUCUCACCCCAACUUAAGUUCGAGCCCGACGCAGGCACGGACAGAGAUUAAGACCCCAACACACCGCGCGCACACCCCUCCCGCAUCCGCAACCCACACAACCCACACACCCCACACCCGAUCCACGAACCCAACCCCUGCUUGAAUUCAUGAAUCAAAACACAUCUUUACCCCGUCGUGCAACCCCGGGAAAGCUCCCCCCCCCUUUUCCACCCACCCCACACCCACACUCCACACUCCACACACCCCCGAGGUGAAGGCCCCGGUCCCCACCUGGAGCGCCUGCUCCAGCUGCCCUGACGCCCUGGACGUGUACAUCUCCUCCACCAGCCGCCUCAUGCCCGCCACCGCCACCUCCGCCCUGUCACGGACCAGCCGGCACGCAGCGGCCUCCUGGCGGGCUGACGUCAGCGCCGACCCGCUGCGGCGGAGGCGGUCCUGCAGACGGGAGGCGCGCGCCACCGCCUGGGGAGGGUAUGUACGGCACGAGCGUUACGUAUGAAGGUGUGGAGGAGUGCAGCAUACUUAGCAAUGUGGAUAAGCGGGAUGUGUGUAGGAGGGGUUGCGAGAAGGGGGAGAGGGCGAAGAGGGCGAUGGGAAGGGGGACAUCAUCCACAGAACACAAGGACCUGGGAGGUGGGAGGUUCCCACCACCACCACCAAGUGCGGGGGGGAAGUCCAGGAAAGCGAUGGAACGGAAUCCCGAACCCUCGGUGACCCUCGCAUGGAUGGCAUGAAGGCUCCUCCCCAGAGUCCUCCUCCUCCCGCCCUCCCAUUCCCACCUUCUCCCCUUUUUCGACAGGCCCCGGCCCCCAACCCCCCCNCNNNNNNNNNNNNNNNNNNNNNNNNNNNNNNNNNNNNNNNNNNNNNNNNNNGCCCUCCCCCCCUCCCCCCGACCUGCUUAUUCACAUCCAGGAAGUGGCGGUACUGCUGCCGGGCCUCAUCCAGGAGGUCCUGGGGGGGGGGCAGUGGGAGGGGGGGAGGGGCCGGGGAAGGGGGGGAAGGUAGACGGUGAGAGGGGAAGUCCGGAAGGCCAUGAGGGGGGGAGGGAGGGAAUGGGAGCGGGAGGGAGGGGGUGACGGUAACCAAGCAAGAACAUCUCUCUCUCUCUCUCUCUCUCUCUCUCUCUCUUUCUCUCUCUCCUUUUAGAAAGCUGCUGCUGCUUCCUGCUUUUGCCGUCGACCCAACAGCAAACGGAGACACCCCCCAGGGUCCCACCCCCGGUUGGCGGUACAGGGACUGACCGGAAAGGGGGGCCAGGCGGGCAAUGCGGGGGGGUGCAGGGGUGCCGCCACCCACGGGGCCCCUAGGCCCUACAGCACCUUCCCCCCUCCUCCUCCGGCCCCUGGCGCCGGGCCCCCUUUCUCCCCCCCCUCCCCCCCUCCCCGUAUACCUGCAUGUGUUUCAUCUGUUGGUGUGCCCCCGCCAGCUGUACGGCAAGGGAGCUGCUACGUUGCCUCUCUGUGGCCAGCUCACGAUCCACCACCUGGGAGGGGGGAGGGGGGAGGGGGCCUUCGGAGGCGUCAGGAAGUGAUUCCUUGCUUACCUUGCUUUUCGUAUCGCCCGCGGGCCUCGCUCUCGCUCUCGCCCUCGCUAUGGUCAUGGUCAUAUUCAUGGUCGUGGUGAGCCCCACCUCCUACUGCUGCCCCGCCUUUUACCCCUCCCCACCUCCAAGCCCCGUCCCCCCGUCCCCCCACCCCACCUCCCACCUCCCGCGCCUCCUUCUCCUUCCUCAAGAAGACGGACAAGUUCUCUGCUCGCCGCUGAAGCAGCCGCCGCUCCUCCUCUGGCAUUGGGAGGGCGUUGGGAGGAAAGACGAACCACACACGAUUGAAGCUGCUGCCAGGGCAAGAGAGUAACAAACGCAUUGGGAGGAAGGAGCAGCGGGGGUAGGGACCCGCACGUGUGGGGGGGAAAGGGGGAGGGGGAGUGAAGGAGGAGGGUUACAGGUGUUUUGCUUUAGGGACGCGACCCCGGGUGCUCGUCCACCACCUCAACCCUCCGAGCUGUUCCGCUCCCCGCCCCGGGCCCCCUCCUCCUCUCCCUCUUUCCCCCCAUUCCCACAUACACUUGCGCACAUGCACGCCUACCCGUGCCGUACCGUGUUGUGCGGUCAGCUUGCGCGCUGCUUCCGCCUGCCUAGCUGCCGCCCCGCGGUCGCUCCUCCCCGCGCGAACACUCUCCGCCAGGUACUCGCAGCGCUGGAACGGAGUUGGACGGGGGAAAUGGUGAAGGACGGGGCCCCGGGAGUGAGGACAGGUAAAAUAUGGAAAGGGUGAAGUGGGGACGACGAACCACAGAUGCCGCUGCGAUGGGGACGGGGAGGGGGAGGGGCGGGUCCCCCGGGUUUGGAUCUGACGAACCGAGAGAUCUCUACCACCACUGCUGCUGCCAGCCCUACCCGUGAGCUGAAGGAGGUGCCAGGCAAAGAGCCGGGAGGGAUCCCUCCCCCUCCCCGUCCCCAUUAGAAUCUGUGAUUGGGACGGGGGCGGGGAGGGGGACGGCCCCUUCCCGGUCGAGGAACACAGAUUCCCCUCUUCACUCUCGGACACUGUGUAUUUGACACGCAACAAACCGCUCCCGCCGCAAUCCCCCCCCGGCUCACCCCCCCCCUGAGAGCAUCCGGUGCCUUCUGUUUACCUUGAUAACCCAUGAGCUCUAAUGAGAAGGAGGAGGAACCUAGGAACCGGCCAAAGGCGACUGAUGUAAAGUGCAGCUACCAAUCCAGUCAAGGUCAAGGGGGGGGGGAGAGGCACACGCCGCGCAGCCGCGCACCUGUCGCGCGAGGGCUUCGGAGCGCCGCAAGGCCGUCACCUGCAGGGUACGGCAGGUGCAUGUGCAUUUGUGUGUGUAUGUGCGUGUGCAUGUAUGUGUAUGUGAGUUCAUUAUCUCGUGUCCGACAUACAUACAUACAUACAUACAUACAUACAUACAUACAUACAUACAUACAUACAUACAUACAUACAUACAUACAUGUGUAGAACUGCGCCGUGGUGGGACUACGGUGGCCUGCAGCUUGCCCGGGUAACGACGGAAACCCGCAGUGCCUGGGGACCCGGGGAGCCCUGUUGCCCCCUCCCAGGUGUGUGGGAAUCUCUGCAUGCAUGCAUGCAUGUAUGUAUGUGAGUACGCAAGUAUGUGCGUUUUUAUGUAUAGGCUUGGCCUAAGUUUGUUUUCGGUUUUCUCGUCAGCCGCCUCCGUUAUCCCCAUCCAUCCCCCCCCGGGCUUAUCCCCCCGUGUGGCUGCCUUAUUUACCAACCUACCGCCCCCAUCUACCCGCAACCCCACUCCGCUCCCCCCACCCCACCCUACCUGCACCUCCGCCUCUUUCAACCGAGCCACCAGAGCACUCCGGGAUAAACCAGCCUGCGGGUCAAACAGCGUCUGGAGCGGAGGCUGCGAACAGGCUCCACCACCAACCCCAACUUCACCGCCGCCACCGCCGAUACCACCACCACCGGCGGCCGGGUAGCACCCCGCCGGCACCGACAUCGCACCAACCCAGGGCGACAUCCCUGCGGCGGGAGCCACCGCGCCCGGCCAGACGUCGCUGCAUCCACCGCCGCCACCGCCGCCGCCCGCGACGUCGGCAGCUGUGGCCGGAAAGGAGUACACGUGGGCUGGCGAGUGGUGGGGGUAGGGGCGGGGGUAUGGACCCGGAUCGAGCCGCGCGGGCGCGGCGGCGGCGGCGGCGGCAGUACGGCAGCAGCGGAAGCAUGGUGACGUCCCGGACUGGGGCCGGGUGCGGCAUCUGGCCGCAGGUGGGAGGUUGAGGGGAAGCGGGAUGCGUUGAAGGAGGGGGAGGGCGGGACUGUUGAAAGGAGGGCGGGGACAGGGGUGUAUCUGUCUGUGUGUGUGUGUGAGGGGGGUUGUAAGACGGACCACUGGCGAAUGAAGCAGAUACCACAGGUGGUGAUGGUGUGUGGGGGGAAAGAGGCCGCGUUCUCCAGGUUAAAGGGACACAUCUGCCGUAUAUCAGCUUGCUAGCGGACUUGGUUGGACAGACGUGCGUUGCGAUAUGAUAACUUGUGUGUAUGGCUGGGGAGGGAAAAAGGGGUAGGGAAGGGGCGCGGGAGGACGAGGGAAAUAGAGGGGGGUUAAGGCACCGCUGUGAUGUUUUGUUGCCCCUGCAAAGCCCUGUCCGGGUAGAAGAGAGGAGGGGGGGGGGAAAUCCCCCCCCUCUACCCACCCCCGCCAAACCGCAGCAUCGUCACCACUUCGCGCAUGGGAUGCCUUCGUGUCCCGCCACCUUCCGUCCGCAACUUGUCCGUUCCCUCCCCAUCAUCAGCCGACACUCUUGUAGGUAGGUAGGUAGGUAGGUAGGUAGGUAGGUAGGUAGGUAGGUAGGAGGCGAACCGCCUGACAAAACCCCACACAGCACACCGCCCCGCUCGCUCUUGCACAUGACAGCAUUCCGGCGGGGGCCCCCUUCCCCCCAGGCCGAUCUAUUGUCUCUUGUCGCCCGCACCUGCACCCGCAGCUGGUCAGGACCCGGCCCGCGGAACACGUUCCCCGGUGCACGAUCCCCUGAGCCGCCGCCGCCGCCGCCGCCGCCGUCAUUGCUGCUGUUGCCGCCGCUGUUGCCGCCGCUGCUGUGGCCCGUCCGCGCAACGCAGCGGCCCCACACACGCCGCCUCCUUGACCUCCUGUUUUUUUCUUCUUUGCAUUUUUCCCGCCAGCGCCAGCGCCAGCGCCACCACCUCCGCCGCGGACCCCCACCCCUACCGGUGGUCCUGACGCCGCCAAGAACGGCCCCGGGGAGGGAGCAGCUGUGCCGCCUGGGCCUAGUCCCGAGCCCAGCCCUAGUCCAAGGGUCGGACCGGACCUCUUCGGCAUCCUCCGAAGGCUCCCUGCGGCUGCUGCUGCUGCCGAUCUUUUCGCUGCGGCGGCUGUAGCUGCGGCGGCGGCGGCGGCCGUAGCUGCAGUUUUCAGAUCCAAUGAGGUGGUACGACUGGACGGGGAAAGGGAUGCCUGGUCCAGUCUUGCCUGCGUGUGCAUGCGCGUGCAGGAGGAGGAGGAUUGGUGCUGAUAGGGGGGUGAAGGAGCGGCUUGGGUGUGAGGGUUGGGGGUUGGGGGCUUUUCCUUGGGUGUGUAGGGGUUUUGGGUGCGAAACGCUGGCACGGACCUCCAAGGCUUGGAGGAUGGCUCUGAGAGCGCCCUCAUUUGGGAUGGAGGUUCUUCCCAGCUGGUCAAGGAUGCUGCCACCGGGGGAAGGGCCCCCGGCUAUACGUGUGGCGGCGGCGAGGCCCUGGCUCCAACUUGGAUGCCCUGCGGGCUCCGCAAUGCUCCUUCCAUGCGGAUGUGAGUCCGCGUGCGAGUUUGGGAAGACCGAUGGGUGCUGCAAUUUGUUGGAAGGUAGAAUGAAGAAGCGUGAGAGGGCCUGGUGUGGAUUGGUGGAUGUGGUGUUGAGUUGCUGGGGUCCUGAGCUUACUGGGGAUGUUGUGUGCUUCACGCGCCUGGAGUUGUCGGCUUGCGAGGGGAGGUAAAGUUGCACCCCGCCAUCUUUGUUGAGGAUGUCAAGAAGGUCUAAAUCGUCUGAAACGCUGUCAUCGCGCAGCAGUAUGGUGUCGUCCGACAGCAUCUCACAUUGUCCUAAAACAAGGCCUGGACAAGAUGAAAUUCAGUGAUCAUAGAAUACCGUAGAUAAAAGUGUGAUUAGGUGCUUUAUUUUUUGCUUGCCAGAUACAAUAAAGAAGGAGAACCGCAAUGAAGUCAUCGAACUGUCACCGUCUGUCGGAGCGUUCUUUUGGGGACAUGGAAAGCCUAUGUCAAUUGACGCCUGGCAAGUGAUGCAGCACAUGUAAACAGGACGGAAAUGUAGUUAGCUGCAUGGCAAGAUUUUAGCAUUCUGAUACGGCAUAGGGAUAGACUGACCGACCGGCAGAUCCGCGAAAAAAUCUCAAUCAUAAGUAAUUCCAAUUACCCUGUAGGUAAUGCAUUACCUACUAACUAUAUUAAACCGGGAUUUGUCAGCCUCCAAACCGCUGUCACGCGCGCCAUGCUUUCCCUGGGCCAUGUCACGCGCGCCAUGCUUUCCCUUCUUUGCGCAAAGUCUAUCCUGCCCGCCUUAUGGAUUUAACAGUCCGACUUGCGCCUGGUCCUGGUGCAAGUCUGGUGUGGUCAUUUACAACUCCAGUCCUGCCCAAGCAACCACAGCAACGUUCGGCACCACACCCUACUGUCCUUUUUGGACUUUAGUCCCAUUGGAUUUGUGUCCUGCGAAACACGAACAAGUCAUGGGAGACUGUCAGCAAUCCAGCCAACCUCUUCCCUCCCUUCCUCCUUCCCUGGCACCGAAGUUCUGCAACUCCCGCAACCGAAGUUCUGUUCAGUCGCCAUCACCACCACCACCACCACAACGACAAUUACCAAAACUCCAGCAACCCUUACCGCAACUAAGACGAACAACGCAGAAACCACAAUAGGACGAUAACAAUGCAGGCUGUGUUAGACUCAGCAACGCGCCACGGACCCCCUCGGGUCCUAUUACUGCUGUCAUCAUUCUCUGGUGUAUGUGAAUGUCGGUCACUUUCCAACAGCCUGUCACACAGCGAUCUGGGUUCAUAGUGCAGUACGGCACCCGUACAUUCGCAGCAAAGUACGGUGCUGUAUGACGACGAACAUCAUCAGUCAAAACAGGUACACAAAAUCGGAGAAAUAAUUACAUUUUAAGGUAACUAAUAGCUGGGUAGUUGGAAGUCCCGAGGCUCCGAGUUUUGCCGUUCAGUCUCCUUAUCGCCGCUUCCUUGCGGACAACUCGCCAUCUGCAUGUGGCCCCGCCUGACGCUUCUGCCCGCUGCCCGCCUCCGCCACCUUCACCCCAUCCGCCGCCUCGACGAGUCCAUGCCCCGGCUGCGGCUUUAGCAGCGGCAGCGAUGACGCUCCCUUCCUGACGGGAUUAGCCGCGGCAGAGGCCGCAAAAGCAGCAGCAGGCGAAACGGCGCCGUGGCCUGGCGACACCCCAGCUGCUGCUGCGCCUUCCGCCUUCGCCGCAGGUGCGCUGGUCUUGCAAGCCGGCUUAAAAAACGAUCCGAUGGACCCCUUCUUCGUGCGGACAUCCUGCAAGACUUCCAAAUCGGAGCUGUGUAAGGAUAUAGAGGAUGUGCGGGGUUGGAUAACGCUGUGGGCCCAACAGACAGGGGUAGGAAUGAUUUUUAUUUUUAUGCGUUCUUGGCGUAGAGAGCCAUAAUAAUAAUAAUAAACCUGAUUGUUGCUGUUAAAAACCCAUAGCAAGCCGUAGCACCAAACCGCCUCCCAACCAGCAACCCGGCCCACCUUGCAGCAGUCGGGCUUGUCGUACCCGGGUUUACUCAUCUCGGGCGUUACUGGGAACCACCUCAGCAACGGUCCGCCGUACGGCUUACAGAUCUGGGGAGAUUGGGGGAAUGAGGGUGUGUUGUGUGUGUCAGGGGGACCAGGGGGUGUAUGGAGGUACAUCUUGGAGGGCAUGACGUUAACCUUCGCCAUCUCCCUUCCCUUCCUCCUCCUCUUCCUCCGCCUCUUCCUCCUUCGCACCUUCUCCACCAUUGCCUCGCACCGCUGGCGGUUUGGCUCCACAGCUCGCAGACCUCCCUUUCCCUGGGAGCCGCCACCGCCGCCACCGCCCAUGCCACUGCCGCUGCCGCCGCCGCCGCCACCGCUGGCGCGCGUGUUCCGGGCACCACUGCUGUUGUCAUCACCACCCUCCACCACCUUGCCCUGUGACCCCCCGUCGUUCCCCUCUUCCACCUGCCCUGACUCCCCUCCUCCUCCGCCCCCUCCUCCUCCUCCAUCUUCUCCUCCUUUGCCAUCACCGUCGCCUUCACCAGUACCAAGAAGGUCUGCAGCACCCCUAGGAUGAACAGAUGAUGGUCGCGCUUCGGACUUAACCACCAUUUGGGUUUCGGAGCCAGCGAUGGCACAUGUUCGCAUGCCAGCGCUCGAUGGCGUGCAGGACCUGGCACCACCACCGCCACCACGACCGUCGUUGCCCGUCUUGUCUCCUGCUUCUCCCCGUUGCUCCUCCUGCGGCUCCUCUGUUUUCGCGUGGGGUUGUUCGGAGCUGAAGGGGUGUUCGUACUCCGAUUUCAUGAGGAUUCGGACGGACGGUUCGGUCUUCAGAGCCGUACGGUUCUGUGGGGCCUGGGCGAGGCACUUGAGCCCACCAUCGCCCUCCUCCCCGAGCCACGCUGAGAUCUCCUGAGGACGACGGGACGGGGAAGGGGGAAGGGGGGGAAAAGACGUACCACGAGCGAGUGAAGCUGCUACCAAGAAAAGACUGCUGCGGCAGAUGCACCGAAAGGGGGAAGGGAAUGGAAAUGGUAAGGGGAGGGGAGGAAAAGUUUUGAACUAGAGAGCAGCGGUUUUGCAAUGCAGCAGCACUGCAUGCGCGACAGCGCUUUUAUCAACCUUAAUUCUUAAUCCAUCCCUGCCAUCGAUUCCCCUUCCCAACAGUACUCUUUCCUUGGCAGCAGCUUCACUCGCUCGUGGGUCGUCUUUUCCCCACAGUACUCGCACCAAAGCGCAUCUUGAUUACAACAGAUGCCAUACUCUUCAGUGCAGCCCUCCCUUCUGCGACCCGCUUUAUAUUUCCCUUCACACGAAGGGUUGAUUUGACGAUAUGCAAAACGUCAAUAUAGUAUCACAACUCCGCAUACCGCCGUACAGAUUUCUACACAGGUUUCCAUACCUCAGGGUUGGUCAAGAUGACUGGCAUCCGGUCAUGCAGCCAGGUCUGUUCGCGUUGUGUGUGGGGGUUUCCGGGUGCGGGGAGGAGGGGCAGGAGGAGGAGGGGCAGGAAAAGGGUUAACUUAGGGUUAACACGGGCAAAACAGCGGAUCCUCAACGCCAGAUUAUAACAUGCGAACAGAUGGACUGACAUGCAUACAGACUGACUAACCAGGGGUUCGCUGCUGUCGGUGGUGAUGAUGGUGAAGGUGUGAAGAGGCUCGCCAUCGGGGUCUGCCGGGGGGCGGAGAGCGGGGUUGAGACGAACCACUGGCGAAUGGAGCAGAUAUCAAAGAUAGACGGGUAGUCCAGGAGAAGAUAAGGAGAGCGGAGGCCGGAGGGCUGGGGGAGGAGGAUGAGGGCCGAGGGCGAGGUGAGGAACUAACCUAACAUUACCGGAAGGCCGGGGACUCAGGCGCCACAGGGGGCCUGCCUUCGUGUAAAUGUCUUGUACACGAGGAACAGCAGCAACCUAACCAUAACUGCGCCAACUGCCGCAACCACCUCACCGUGGCACACGUCGUACAGUCCAGCCAUGUACAUGGCUGGCUGCUGCGGCUCGUCCGCGGUGGUGAUGUAGUACGGUUGUUUGCGACUGGCGGCGCCGCCUCCACCGCCCUGACUGUGCCACUCGUAAAAUCCGUCCAGGAGCACUACACACCUGGCGAAGGCAGCGGUAAUGGGUUCUGGAAUGUGCACAAGCAAAACACACACACACACACACACACACACACACACACACACACUCUGUUCACGCACAUGCAAAGCCUUGGGAAAGCACGGAAAACGCAAGACACGCAAACGCGCAAAUGGUAAAUUCCCUUCUAAAUUACGCAAUCGACAUAAAUGCAUAACCAUGCAUCGAUCGAUCCAUUUAUAGUUAGAUAGAUAGAUAGAUACACACACACACAUGGGGAGCUAGCGCACGUGCUAGGCACACGCAAGCUAGCCAGCCCCGCCGUGCCCCUGGCCAGGUCAUCCAGGCUGUCUGUCAGUCCGCACCUCUUCCCAGACAGCAGGCGACUGAACACGGGCUUGCUGGUCAGGCCCUCGCAGCGCGCAUUAAACAUGCGGUAGUGGUCGGGUCGCUCUCCGGGAGCCAGCCGCGUGAAGGAGGGAACCAAACCCCACCUGGAGCGGAGGGUUGGAAGGGGUGGAAGGGACGGAAGGGACGGAAGGAAGGUUGUCUGUUGGAGGAAAGGUGAACGUUUCACGAGCCAUACAAAUCAGUCUUUUAAACAUGCUUGCGAUGCCAAAUUGCAAGAAGCGCGCACAUCAAUGAUUGGCUUGGUUCGGGAGUACUCUUCUUCGUGGAAGAAGGGAUUAGUGUGGUCAAGGGAAGCCCGUGGCGGUGGCAGGGAGUUUGGGGGGAAGGCACCGCGGCAGUUGGUGAACGAGCCGGGGAAGAAGGCAGCAAUCAGACUUUAGAGGUAACCCAUGCCUGCCCGUUUUCCAGAACCGUAGUUGCAGAAAAUUUCCACCAUGGAACCUCAGGCACAGCAGGUCAUUCCAGCCACCACCGCUUCUGCGUUGAAAGCCAAUGCUGCCGAGCCAGCCAUGGUGGUCGACUGGGCGUACGGCCACCAACUGCCGUUUAACGGCACUUACUUCAUCGUGUGUAUUUCUCUGGCGCCGUCUGAACCAAGCUUCAUGACAGGUAGCCAGGCUCCAGGACUGCAGUUGUAUGAUGGUCGGUACUGUGUUGGGUUGCGCCAUCGCUGCUCAGGAACUCCGGAGGCCGUCAGCACGGCCUCGCGCGCCAAGGAGCAUCGCGCGCGACCGCACAUCGUUAAAACCUAUGUUAUAUAAGGUUUCAUAUAUUGCUAAUAGGCGUACAUGCAAAAAGACUGGUAGGUUUCGGAGGUAUCCCACUCGUGCACAAGGGGACGAUAUUUCAAUUUGUCGACAGAUGCCGGUUCCUUGUAAAAAUCUAAGUUUUACAUAACUAAUAAAGCAUUUGUUACUGCCUUAGUGCGUUUCAGUACGGUUCGUUUGUUCAGCAGACCAACCGCCGAUGUACGGCGAUGUCUUUGUUGUCCGGCAUGCUGCAAUGCUCAUAACAGGGUUGCUGAAUGCCAAGGAUCAGCUGGUCCGGAGCUGUUCAUGAACGAGGUUUCUCUGGGGGGUGGCUGCAUGGUCACCGGAACGGGGAAACGUCGCAUGGAGUGUGUUACCGCCUGUCAUGGGUCCAAUCUGUUAUGGAGAGAUUUCCGUUACAUAAGCUAAAAACGGAUGCUCAAUUACACAUCGCCCUUCUUAAGCCGCCGGGAGUGCACUGAUCAGGGGUUAAAGCAGUCCCAAACGGACGGUUCACAGGCGGCACUGGAACUCGGUGUACUCGAGCACACGAGGACCUGGUCCUGACGGUACACCGCAACCAUUCCCAACCAGGUGCCAACCCUAAUGACGUUGUUGGCCAGGUGCAAGGCUCACUAGGAGCAGCAAGGAUCAGGUGUCACCCAGCCGGCAAAGGGGCACCGCAUGUCCGUUUACCUAAACGCCAAGGCCACACUGCUAACGGCGUCAAACUACGUUAUAGUCACCAUUUUAAGGACCACGCAAACCUAUAUCUAGACGCCUUGCAAACCUUUUUGCCUUACUAAAUCCGGCUUCGCCGGCUAGUUAAAAUCAUUCUGCACCACAUUCUACGUUGGUCGCGCGAAUCCAACACCGCAUGCUGUAGCAUUCCCUUGUGACGUGACUCCACCCAGCAACCCUGUCUUUCCCUGUUGCUCCAAUUGCAGACGGAAAGAUAUGUGCAACCCUCCCCAGACACGCUUGUAGCACCCUGCCCUCUCCUAGUACUCCUCCUAUCCAGCAUCGUGCAAAUCCCCUAGUCGCUCACAAAUCCGUGACCUUAACUACAAAACAUUCUCAAUCACUCUUACCAAGCCCCGAUCCCACUUGUUUCUAUAUGCCCGCACCUACGUACACACAUGUAAACGCCCAUCCCCGCUUUCCUCAUCGCCUUACACCGGGCAGCUCGCAGCGCUGGCCGGCGCAACACCGUAUGGACAGCACGUGAAUUCCCGCGCCGUGUCGUCGUAAGCGCCCUUAAACACAUACUCGCACAACGGGGAUCCAGCCACGCGCGUCGGGCACAGCUGUUCAGCCGUCACAUCAGCUGCCACAUACACCGACAUGAGAGAUGGCGUGCGAUUGGUCUUGUACAGGUUGAUUGCGCGAACCCAGCUCUGGUAGCUGUUGCUAGAGCGCGUCCAGUCCACCGCCGCGCCGUCGACCGUGACCUUAUAGACUGAGUCCAGCACGCUGGGCGCUACAAACAGCGUGACCUGGUCGACCUCCGAAACCGAGCAAUUGGGCCGUGUACCGUUACUGACGCCAGGCACGUUGACGGCGGUAGCGCCAUUGUAAGACACCUGAAACGUAAACACCGUGUCGUCCUGGUUGGGCGCCGCCGCAUGACGGGAGCCAUUGUAUGACAGGCUGUAAGGAUUCUCAGCCAGAUUGUCCACGCAGCACGUGUCGUCAUGGCCAAAGCGUACAACCCCAAGGGGGCAGCAGUUAGGCACAUCAAACGCUUCAAUACCCAGGAAGACCGUCGGCUCGUCAGUCAGCGUCUGGUAGCCGUUAAUCUCCACAUCGCAGACUCGGUCGUCGUUAGGCAGGAAGGCCGACCGCUUGCAGGGCCACAUGCCUGCCUUCGGUGCUGGCGUGGCGUCCACGCGGAUGGGCACUGACAGCAACCAGGGCUUCCCUGACGUGAAGUUGGUCACGAAGAGCGAAGGUGUGUAGUUUCGGCCCUGGGUGAUGUCAUUAGGGUAGAGCUUGAUGCCCCAAUCCGUGCGUUGCUUUGACACCGUCAUCUCAAAGCCUAGGUCGGUUGUCAGAGUCACGUUACCAACGUCUUUGUCCGCCGCGAUCGAGCUGACCAGACUCAGCCCAAUGUUGACCAGGGUUUGGUUGCAGCAGCUGCCAUAGCGGUAGCCUGGUUCCCAGCAGUCUUCUGGACUGACAACGUAUAGGUUGAAGUGGUAAAUGACCUGGUUGGGCGUAGGGAUGGAGCGGACAUAGUCGAGGCGGAAGCGCGAUGUCGUUGUGAUGAGGGAUGAAAUGCAGUCGCACUUCUGGACCUCGGCACGGACAGCGUCAGGGAAGGGCGGUGGCGGCGGAGGUGGCGGUGGCGGCGGUGGAGGAGGGGAAGGCGGCGGUGGGCGCGGAGGGGGAGGCGGCGGUGGUGGAGGUGGCGGUGGUGGGGGAGGCGGCGAAGGUGGCGGCGGUGGUGGCGGCGGAGGCGGCGGUGGCGGAGGAGGCGGCGGCGGCGAUGGGGGUGGCGGUGGCGGCGGCGGUGGUGGCGGCGGUGGCGGCGGCGGCGGCGGAGGGGAUGGCGGUGGUGGUGGAGGCGGCGGAGGCGGCGGCGGCGGUGGUGGCGGUGGCGGGCUGGGUGGUGGCGGUGGCGGUGGUGGGGGAGGAGGUGGUGGCGGUUGAGAUGGGCCGGAAGGCACUGCUGGCAGCGUCGGUGGCGUUGGCGGAGGCAUGCCCGGUGGUGGCGGGGGUAGUGAUUGAGAACAGAUUGGGCAGCACUGGUGGGCGCUGCUCUCAAACACAGCGUAAGUGCACGCGCCAUCGGCGGUAUUGCACAGAGAGCUGUACGAUGCGCAAGCAGAGCCAGGCUUGAAACGUAAGCAAAGGCUGGUGUUGGUGGCUGUUGUGACAUUCAUAGCGAGUGGUGUAAUGCGGAUCUUCCCGUCUGGAAAAUUCGUGUCGAACAACGAGUUGAAGCGGGCCCCGUUGACAAAUGCUGCUACGUAGUCAACUUUGCAGGUCUUGUCUGCGAGGGGUCGGGAAAUGUGGACGCCGAGGAGGUAAGUAGGCACCAGCUAACAAACCAGCAGGGGCGGCCUAGCGAUGCUCAGCCUCAGCGGGAGGGUAUAACCAUGCAAGCGGGGGGAUAACUAUGCACGAGAGGGGUCAAGAGUACAGACCACAUUCGGUAUCCUUAAGCCACUGGUCUGUACGGAUAUAGAGGGACCCCGCCCUUUUCCUGGCUUAGAACGCCGACACCCUGCUUAUCCGUAGACGAUUUGUGAUAUGGGUUGUAGACAUACCUAUUAACUUCGCAGUUAUUUCAGCCAAUAAGCAUUCAUCCUGCGCCUGACCCAGAUGUAUAUGAAAACGUCUUCUAUGGAAAACACUACAGGGUGGACGUAUGUGCCUGGAUUGUGCUGUUCCCAUGGCUCUACUGGCUCUUUCGUCGUUUUAGCAAGGAAAGAAUUCGUGCUUCCUCAGGGCGACUUACUGACGGCAAACUCGACCUUGCCGAGCCUGUCCAGCAGGAUCUUGCAGCAGGGGUUGGCUUGGCUGCAGCCCACGCGCUCUAUCAGAUAGCAUAGCUCAUCCGAACGCUUGGUUGGCGACGGGAUGGACUUAAGGCGGUACGGUGCCGAGGAGCACCGGUAAUCCUGGCACUGGCAGAAGGGGAACUUGUUCAGCGCCUCUACAUCCGCGGCGCCCGGCAGCGUGGCAGCUACCCCAAGCUCUGGAUCCGCAUCCGUAUCCGCCGAAACUGCAGGGAGAUGGCAGGCGGGAAGAACAUGAUGGGAUGGUUCAAUGGAAGUACAACGCCGUUAGUGCAGUUCCUCUUCAAAGGGUAUUCACUACGCGAUUAUACGUUGGUAUAAGCCCUGACCCUGUGCGGGUGUGCUUACCCGUCCACGCUAACGCAGCAGCUAACAGCAGUUGGGCCACGCUGCACUUUAGCAGCUGGAGGGGCGUUCGCCCCAUCCUCACGUCGGACCUGCGUUUGGAGGGGGGCUGUUAGCUGCGGAGUGAACAGCAAUUCUACUUAAAACCGUACAAGCUCGACGAUACGUUAAUAAACUAUAUGCCCUUUCCGGGGGGUUAUUUAAGGAACCCGCGCAGAGCUGUCGCCAAGCAAAUACGUGCUUGGGCAGUCGUCCCAGGAUUAAAAACAGGAUCAGUAGUUAAUCGUUCCUAGCAACAAGCGGAAUCACUUCGUGGCUCCCAAGAAACUGGUUUUGCCGCCCGACCUGUUAAUCGCUACUUCUAGCAUCUGCAACGCACCUGCAAGGACCCCGGUGCCCACGGAAUGUAGCUCCACGUGACAGAAAAGAUGAUGUCAAAGAAGUGCUGGCCAAGAUACCGCUGCAGAGUGUUUCGUGGACCACAACUCUACAAUGUUUGACGGCGCAGCUGUUGACGGGUGAGCUGAAACAAACCCUCGAGCUGGGCAAUUUACAUAAUGUGCCUUUGAAAGUGGGUAUAUGUUGCGCUGUGUAUCUUCUCGCAACUGAUGAAAGGAAGUUUGCAGCUACAGUUCCAAGUACGGCAGUCAAGCAGUUUUGUUCUGGUGAUGGUUCGGUAGUUAUAAGUGAUUAUAGUUACAUACCUGCCAAUACCUGAACACUUAGGUAAGGGCCCAUUUGCCUACGACGAUGCAGCCUUAACCAUGCGCUAUUUGGCACCCUUGUGAUGAGGCAGCCCGUGGUUUAAGUUAUGACAGGUAUAAAAUCACCUUGUAUAUUCGCACAGAUGUGUGCAUAAAGUUGGAGUUGCGGAGUGAAAGUUGCGAGCUUCGGAGCGUCUAUUGUGCCAGUAGACAUACAUGAAAUUUUAACAUGCAACUGUGGCAGGAUUGACGCGGAGGAUGUUUGAAUGACGAUGUACACAAAUCGUAACAAGGCAACGACGCCUCGGGCGUCAUGGCAUAUGACCCAUUUUAGGACGCAAACCACUAGAAUCGCUGGCGCUGGCGCGUCGAAGGCGUGCCCUUGCAUAACCGUCCUGAACUCCAUACGUUGUGCCGCCACAAGCUCCGGGCAAACUCCAGUCCCCGACACAACUAACCCCAAGCCAGACCCCUUGACAAACGCUGGCCGCACAACAAACGGUGGGAAUGAUAUGCAUGGUUAUUUUAUGAAUGAGGGCAAGGAAUAAAGGGGCCGUAGAAACAAACCCCGACCUGGGUCCACCAGCUCCGAGUCGUCCCCUUAAAUGGGCCUCGCUUUGCGACAGUCCUACUUGGGCUGCCGCCGGCAGCUCUGUACAGCUCCCCUUGAGGGCCACAUGCUGAACUCCCCUUAAGGACCAUAUUAUAACAUGCCAGGAAGCCAUUGCCACCGUCGUGCGCAUGCAGCAUGAGUACUACGUUGCAUCUGUCGCAGGGCCGCCCCUGCACGUGCUCGGCGUUGAUUAUGGGACCUCCAUAACGGGCCUCGCGCUGGGGCGUAAUGGUUGGUGCAGCCCUCUUAAGGUGAAUCCGAUUGCCGAUGACGUGGACACCGGCCAUUCACAUUGCUUGCAUGCACCUUACGCAAUGCGGCAGGAGCCAUGAGAGCGUCUGCCCACCCUGCUUUUCGAGCUCUUAAGAGUACCGAAUGGUGUCCUUGGGUUGCGGAUUAUGACCUGUGUCCAGCUUGAACGUGGCUUCGGGCGGCGGCUUCCGACAAAGUACAUGUUGGUUAGAGCAAUAAUUAUGGGGUGGAUGGGAUGUCUUACAUUGAUACAGCUCUGUAUGCCGAAGAGAGAAGAGUCGUUGGAGUUCUCCACGCUCCUAAUCUCGUAGCAAUCGACCCGGUGCAGCGUGUGGUGCAUCCGUCCACCCUUCCUUACGUGCGGUCCUUGCCCACAGUCAAUACCUUCUCUCCGCACAUCGAAGCUGUCAGAUGUGGCCCGUCAAGUACUUGCCACAGCGCUGGAGCAGAGAGUAGAGGGCAUGGUGGUGGGCAUUCCCGUACAGCCAGGGGGCAGCAUCGUCAAGCCACACACGGACUCCCGAUUGGUGAGCUAGCGGGGUUGGGAUCCACUGCCUGCGGCCACACGGGAUGUCUGCGAUGCUAAUCUGUGACUUAGGCCCAUAUACGCGCAUGGAGCCCCGGUCACACGCUGCUGGGUGGGCUUACCCUUGACAAUCACGACCUGACUUGUUAGUCUAGACUUCGUAGGAUACCCGGAUCAUUGUGUCAAUUUAAGCCGUGGGUUUGGCAAGCUGGUUUGUGUAUGCACAAGCUGGCUUCUCCACGGUGGCUGUUUCCGGUGCUGAUCAUGUAUGCGCCGCUGCUCUAUAAGCUGCGCUGCAGGGUUCGAGAUGCCGCAACCUAGCACAUACGUUGGCACUGAUGGCGAAGGAGCAUGGCAUCCCGGUGUAUCUUUAUAGUAAGUACGGAUGGGUGCCAGCGAAAGCAUCGAUUCCCGUGGGCGCUGAAAUCCGAUAUAGCUUAUGCAAUAAUACCUAAUUGCCUUUGCUGUAGUCCAAAUGGGUUGGGAGUUGCCCGCAGACAAACCAAAUCAGGCAUAGCAAACAAUCAGGCGCACACUGCCACCAUGAUUUGAACCCCAUUCGCCUGGGACCUCAUGCUUGCUUGUGCCGUGUCCUUGCCCGGAACCCCUGUGGAAAUGCAGACGAAAAGGAUACGACUCGCGCUACCAUGAAAACACUAGGUUACAAUUGGACCGACCGCCUCUCCGGACAGGAGAAACAGGUGCGUGAGUACAGGUCCCUGCACGACUAGUAACUCUGGUCAGGACGCCAUCCUUCGUCUUUUUCCGGUAACCCCUAUUGUGUAGACACUGCCACUGUAUCGUGUUUCAACGCCCGCCCUUCAAAACCUUGACCGACAUUCAGGAGGUUAGGCUGCACACGCUUUACCUGUGUAAAAUUAAUUAUGAAUCUUAACCCCAUGAUUCCUUGACAAAUCCUGCUAUGCAGGCAUGCAAGCUGGACUCCGAGAGCGCAGCCAUGCUACUGCGGCUGUACUUUGGUAAUCCACGCCUAGCUGUCCGUGUUAAUGCUCAAGUAAAUAUCAAGCGCUCCCCAGGUACCCACAACUCGGCCGAAACGACUAGCGACAGGGAGUGAGAAUAUCACGAUGCGAGGAGCAGUGUAAGGCUUAUCGACACCUGCAAAACGCCUUACAGUCGCCUGCUAGUGUCACCUACCAAACUGUACACAUCCUACACUUAACUGCAAUGACCAAUAGCACCCUCGCAUAACAACUCACGACCGCUGUCAGGAUUAUCAGGCCGCCGCGCCGAAGCCAGCAUUACUCGUCGCAGUGGGCGUCCCUGCUUUGACGACAGCAUCUGGCGCCGCAAGGCGCGCAAUGUCUGCUACGACCGACUUGAGCUGGGACCAGGCAGCCUCGCGGGCAGCAUCCGCCUCCGCUUGCUCAGCCUUGAGCUGCACAAGGGAAACAAUAACGACACAAAGCCGUUAGCUUACAUCACAUUGUCACGGAAUCACGCAGUAAAACCCAUGUUGAGCACGGGUUUUAGGUUUCUUUCGUUGCUGUAGUCGACGACCAAUCGAGUGGUAUUAAGGGGAACCCCCCCGUACUGCAGUGAAAUACCUACGUGCGGAAAGGAGAGAACUUCUAUGGUCAACCAGUACUUACGGCCGCAAUUCGCUGUGUCAGCGCCUCAAAGUCCGGCCCGGCAGACACAACUGGAACCUGGGCAAUAACAGACGAGCUUUGGCUUGAUUUCAGCCGCUGAUUCUCCUCGGCGAGAGCAGCGUUCUGGGCCUGUAGCUUAGCGAUCUGCUUCCUGCAAACGUCAAGCUCCCGCCGGAGGUCAUCCACUUCCAAAGAGUGGCUGCUGACUUUUUGUGGCGAAUCUUUUACAGCCUCCAGGCGGGAGUCAAGGCUUGGUGCUGCGUCCAGCAUAGAGGGUUCAGGGGAUGGUGCGUCUGACGCUUCAGCAGCGACGGCUGGCGGGCUUUCGGCAUCCUGUGCCUGGGCAGUUGGGCUAUUGCUCUCCGCAGCAGCGGGUGCCUUGGAGCCGCUCUUUCCCUUCUUUUUGCCCAUGUCAAACUGCUAUGCGCUGCCUUGGAAAACUUGUAGCCCUCUUAACAGCGUUACUGGUACAAAUGUCUACAAAUUAUAGUUUAACCUAAUUAUCGCAUGAAGCUAUUAUACAACACCAGGGCGUGCGCGGCAUUUUCAAACUGCCAUGACCUGCACGACAGCCCCGCGAGGCGUUGUGCGGUUAUGACCGUUUUUAAACAUCGGGACUUCGUGCUAAUCACUCGAUGACCAUUCUACGGUACAGAAAAUCGGCGCAGUGCCUAGGUGAAAGCGGGAGGCAGCUUACACACAUAAAUGGCCAACUGACAUCGCGCAUAACAUCAGCAUGGACGACGAUCAGGAUGCGGUAGUCUUCUCGCAAGAGGCCAUGCGUCAGCAUGAAGAUUUGAUCUUCCCGUCCUACAACUUUGGUUCAGAACCGCAACAUACACAACAUGCUCGCCAGGGUGGAUAUCCGACAGGGAACAGUCCGUUUGAUGCUGUUGGAGUCGCAAGCGGCUGUGGAGCGGAUUUCAUGGCCGUAGCUGCUGGCAGCAGGCGGCCCAAGGCGACGGCUCGGUCGGCGACAGGACGUCGGGAACCCAAAGGAAAAGUGUUCAGCGACCCUGUGCACGGAACAUUCAGGUCUGCAGGAAGCCGCUAUAGAAAUUUGUGCAUGGUCCAGAACUCCUAUUCCGUGUCACACGGCUAUGGUUGUGUAACUGAAACGGUAUGAACGCGACUGCUAAGAUGGGACAACCUCUCUUCCUAAUUAACGAAUAGGGAGUUCUUGGGCAAAAUGAACUACCUCUCUGCAUUGCGAGGCGCUGUCAGCAGCACUACGCUUUGGGGCCCAGGGGCAAUUAAUUGGCAGCGUGGAUACGUAAGCGACGUCGUCAUCCACGCCGCCCAUGGCGCCGCCCCAUCACCCAAAACCGGCACCCCACCAUCCCCCUCCCGCAGAAUAUGCAAUCCGUCCCAGGCCCCCAGCUAUUUCCAACCUUAGCUUACGCAGACCCGCCUGCCCCCUUCCCUCAUGAAACUGCUGUGUCCUUUCGGGCCGGCAAGGCUGGAUCCCAUUAAUGUUGCAAUCAUCGACACGCCCCAGUUUCAGCGACUACGUGAUCUUCACCAGUUGGGCCUUACGCACCUGGUCUUUCCCGGCGCGAUACACACGCGCUUCGAACAUUCACUUGGGACAUCCUUCAAGGUAAUUGGCAUGUGGCCUUUGGCAGCGGCGCGAGGCCUGUUAUGCGAGGCCAUUACGGCCGCAAUUGCGUGAAGGGCAUGUGCGGCACUAGCCCAAAAUCGAGGAGCUGCUGUCACCCUUCGGGAUGCGAAUUUGGGGCCGCUUGGGGUUUUCACCCUCCGCCUUCCUUCCACUCUUUGCCAUCGUAUGACUGAGUCUUCUGGCGCCCCGUUUAUGCCUCACAGCGUCCUCAUCGCUUGCGAGGCAUCUGUUCGCCUUGCAUUGAUCUUCCGCCGCGUCCAAAGCUUCACGUCAAACCCGCCACCAUCGCGCAACCCCAUUGCCACACGGCCGCCACUUCACACCGCCGCUUACUAACUCCCCUUCCCCGCCAGGCCUUUGAAGUGGCGGACCGCAUCUACCGCACCCAGGGCCGGGAGCUCGGCAUGGAGUUGGACGACGUGCGGCUCGUGUCCCUAGCCGGUGCGUAUCCGGGCCAGGGGGAUGGCGAAAGGCCUCUUCAGACCUGAAGCCACGCCCACCAUUGCCGCUCGUGUCCGUUUCCCUGUAGCCCGUUCCUCAUGGGUCGCUCCCCCAUUUGGCGCCACCACCAGGCUUAUGCCACGAUUUGGGUCACGGACCUUUUUCCCACGUGUUCGAGUACGAGUUCCUUCGUCGCAAGCGGCUGGGCGUGGAGCCAUACAGCGAGGAGGACAUCCGACUGAAGGAGUGGUAAGAGGGGGCCCGGGGGCCUACAAGAGACGUCUCCGGGACCCCGUCCACACCCCGUCCACACGGGCCUGGAGGCUUGGGCCCGGGGUUUCGGGUCCCGGUGGCUGGGGAGCGUGAGGAAAGGAUGGAGGAGAAGCCUUCGGGGUGGAGGGGUUGGGACGGUGAAGCCCCGAGGCAGGUGGAGGGUUUUAUGGAUGCUGUAGUAGGGAAGAGAGGAUGGCGCACGGGAUUGGCAGCGAUCUGGGAGCGGUGCAAGAUGUACGUCUAAGGCGCAUGGCGGAUUGGUAUGACAAGGCGAUGCCUGGGCCUGUGGAUGGUUGCCCCUGCGCACUGAGGCAUGGGCUGCGGGACCUGGGUGGGGGAGAUAUGUCGCGAGUGCAAAUGGGAGGGGGAGCCUUUGGGGUCACAACUCCACCGCUUGACAUUUUCCCCCCCGUCCCCCCUCCUUCCCUCCCCUCUUCCGUUACACAACCCCUCCGGCUUUCAGGCACCAUGAAAUCAUGUCCACCCGCAUCUUGGAGUACCUAGUAGACGAGAACAACAUCGAGGGAAUCGAACAGUGAGAAACGGGGUAUGUGGAGAGACUGGGUGCGGGAUGGAAGCGUGGAAUGAUCGUGUGGAAGCAGGCCCUGGGAACGAAGACUGGUAGGAAUAAGCAGCAUCACGGCCAAGGCCGCAUGUCGUCGCAACACCCGAACCUGGCUCUUUAUGCAAAUUUUUCGGAUCCGGAAUAUGUCCUAGCUGUCAGGAAUUUCGCCUCGCAUACAUAUGCGCAGCAAUGCAUUUACUUAAGACGCCAUGUCUUGCAGUCUUUAUGGCCCCGUCCAGUUCCCAUCUGGGUCCGGACUCCCCUCACCUCUUGGCCCUCUCUCACCUUGUUGAAUGUCCUCCCUCCCCUGACCCUCUCUUUGUAAAGCCCGCCCGUCUGCCGCGUCCACCACCUGGCCUCAGGGAGGACAUUCGCCGCAUCAGCGACUUCAUAAAGGGAGACGCGCACGAAGACAGAGGCUACCUGUUCGACAUUGUCAAUAAUAAGCGAUGCGGGUAAGGGAAUUGCCGUCCAGCGAAGGAACGGGGCCGUGGGGAGUCGGGGGCUGUGCGCUCACCACCAGCAGUGCCAGUGCUGUGCAUGGGGGUUUAGAUGAAUAUGAAUGGGCGAGACAUGCGGCACGAGGAGGGCGUUUACGAGGACAUGAAACAACAACAUGCAAAAUGUACCAUCAAGUAAAGUACAUCAGGCUGGGAGAAGGGGAAGUAAAAGAACGGCAUUACGGGGUCCCGGGCAGUGAACGAUCCAGGGGGAGGUGUGUGUGUGGGGGGGGGUUCCCUUGUCCUUGCGCCAAUUCCACUCACCAUUCCUUGCGCCAAUUCUUAAAUUUUCAUCCCACGCAUUAGUACCCUUGCCCAUAUUUGCAUGUAAGUCCCGACCUGUCGUAGCCUUCCUCCGCUACCAUACCUCCGUCUCACCCUUCUCAGCCCGUGCUUCUCCCCACCGCCAGUGUGGAUGUCGACAAGGUGGACUACCUGCAACGUGACGCCAUGAUGUGCGAUGUCAACAUUGGCUGCGACUUCAAGCGGCUGCUUACGCUGACAAAGGUAACACGCAACACCUCCCCCCUCCUAGGAGUAUCCGGCUACCGCGGGUAUCGGCAUCACUCGUCUGUGGUUCUCGUCUUCUCCCCCCUUCCUCUCCACGGCUUCCUGCUGCUCCCUUUACCCUGCACCGCUAUUGGCGGCAAUGCACGCUUUCCUUUCUUUGCCGCUUACGUUGACGUUUUGCUCUCCUCCAACGCUGGCGCUGGCGCUAGCCGAAAUCGCUGUUCUGUGAGCGUUAUCUUCUGUGGGAAUUUUCCUGUGCCUCCGACCCGUGGCAUUAUCUUGCCCAUACAGGCGGCAGCCGCCAUCACUCACAGCCCCAACGUGCUCAGGACCUACUUAAACUCACGCCGCUCGUUUCCCUCCUUUUGCUCACUGGCUGUCUCUCCACCGCAGGUGCUUCAGAACCAGAUAGCCUACAAAUGGUCCGAGUACUCGAACAUCUGGGACCUGUUUCAUGCGCGAGAGUCCAUGCACCGCAAGGUGUACACACACAGGCAUGUGCCAGAGCGGGAAGGGGCCCCCUUGGGAAGGAACCCGGAAGUACGCCACCGGACGCGGGCUAAGGGCCGGGUGCCUGUCUGUAUGUCUGUCUGCCUGUCGAAAGAUAGAUAUGCGGGUUAGGGAGGCGAGGAAAGGAGCGGAACAGGUCCGGCUGCAUGUCUGGCCGGUGACCACUUGGCGGUCCGGUCGUUAAGAGUAGCAUGCUGUUCUUUUUGUUGUUGGUAACUCGGUGGAGCAGUGGCUGGUUUGAGUCCGGUGGGCCCGGUGGUAAUGCCGCGGGCGUCUCCCAUCUCUCAACGUGUCGUCGUUCGCAUUCUCCUGGGGGUAAUGCCUGGGCGCGAUUUUCGCUUCCUUCAUCUCCCCGUUGCGUCUCUAGUUAACGAGUUAGCUAUUUCUCGCUCGUGUUUUUCUGUGUCUUCUGUCCCUCAGGAAGACCAAGGCGGUGGAGUUCAUGGUGGUGGACGCGCUGCUGGAGGCGGACCAGGCGCUGAGGUUUUCGGACAACAUCGACACGGCCGAGGUGGGGGGCCGGUGAAGCGCGGGGAACGGGAUGGGGCCAGUUGGGAAGGGCACUGUGUGGGUAUGAGCGGGUUCAAAAAAGGGACGGAGCGCAGAGGGGGAAAAGGAGGGAGGAGGCCGUCCGAGUCUGAAGCGCUGUAUCCCAAUCCAUACAAAGCCAUGUAUGGACAAGUCGGUCAGUAGAUGAAUGCGCGUGCGUUAGCAAACAGGGUUGACAGUUGCGGCUCUUGUUGUCUCCCGCUGGGCUCCCGAACUGUGCCGAAGAGGUGGGGACUUAGAAUAGGCAUAUGCCGGCCGAUUGGCGUAAAACCUUUGAGAUUAAACCCAUCACGUAACUGCCAAUCUAUCCUAAAGUUAUUAGUCAGUCCGCUUUUGCAACUUUGCAAGGUGCUGUUUCUGACGCUGCUGGUGAUGUUGAUUAUGAGGGUACUGACCUACCUUCAUGUGCUGGUGCGGUCCGCAGGACUUUUGUAUGUUGAACGAUUCGCUACUAAACGUGAGUCCUGGGUACGUGUUGGGUGGUUGGGUAGUCCAUGGCGGUCCCGGAGUCAGCGGAGGCUCUUUGGUUGGGAGGUGCCGCCUAAUGCAGGGAGGGAAUGGAAGGGGUUACCUGUCCUCCGUGUAAGGAGGGGGUGCUGUUCAGUGUCCUUGGGGCAGCCAAACGGAGUGUUGCAGGCGCUGCGAUCAGCGCCCAGGGUGACGCCCCCGGACAUCGGGGCAGCUCCCAGCCCGGAGGGCGCAGCGGCUUCUGAGGAUGCGGAUCAACCAGCAAACUGCGCUCUCUCGGGUGGCUUUCGUGGGAUGGGUGCUGAUUACCGCUGGGCUGGGAGUUGGCAUGAUUUUGAGCGGGCAGCACCGCGGCCCGUCCACGGCUGAUGACAGUCCGAUUGGCUUCCGUAAAGCGCCAGCGUGCAUGUGUCACACGUGUCACACGUGCCACACGCGGCACACGCGGCAUCCCAUUAUCCUGGCCCCUCGACCGCGAUGUGGCCGCUGAGAGUGAGUCCCUCCCCACUCCUCCGCCUACGACUCCCCCCUCGGCGAGAGCUUUCUUUGCUGGCCGCGGGCUCCACUCCGUUAACUUUAAACGUCCACAGAAACCCAUGUGAUUGGCUGUGUGCCAUGUGAUUGGGUGUAGAUAUGUGACUUUGACGCAUUUGCCGCAUUUGCCGUGCGAUGUUUGUCUGAGUCACAUGUGUCCAAACCGGAAUCGCAGCCGGGCCCCGCUUCCAGCGUUUCAAGAUCCAACCAACUCCCGAUCUUCUUUCAAACCCUUCCCCAGACGAUUGAGAACUUCAACGUACACCGCCGACUGGCGCCUCCGCUGGAAACGGAUGCAGAGACUUGCUUGGCUAAAGCGCAGGCCCUUAUCAGGCGUCUGCGGUGCCGAGAUCUGUACCGGUACGGAAACCAGUUUGUCGUACCCUACGAGUAUCUGGAAGACAGCCGUUGGAAGGUGAGAGAGGGCGGAGGCGCUGCAGCGCGGGUCGCACGGUCGCCGCAGCUGCUGCUGCUGCAUAACGGUCAGCAACAGGAGCCGCCGCAGCAGCAGCAGCCGCAGCAGCCGCAUGACGGUCAGCACCGCCUGCCAGCACCACCUUUAACCCCGUUUGUCCCCGUAUGUGUGCUGCGUCCAUCGGAUAGAGAAAGCACUAGCGGACAGACAUAUGACAUGCAAGAGGACCAGACCGACAGUUGGGCAGACGGACAGGCAGACAGACGUACGCCAGGUCAUGUGCUCUUGUCGCACAUAUGCUCUUGUCCUCUUGAACCCGCAACUUUGGUCGCGGACGUGUGCAUUACGAAUGCACAUAUGGUACAACUUUCAACACGACAACCCCACCUGUCAUCACUCUUGCCGCUCCACCACCCAGUGCCCCACCCGCCACUCCCCUCUCUCCCCCCCCCAACCCCAGGACAUGAGCCGCGAGUUCACCGCCGAGGAGGUGGUGUCAGCGUACCGGGGCGGUGACGUCGCCCUCCGACCAAAUGACGUCAUUGUGUCUCAGACCAAAAUCGACUUCACGCAGGGCGGCAGAAACCCCGUGGACAAUGUGAGAAGGAGAAAAAGGAGGAGGAGAAGGAGGAAGGGGGGGGGGGUAGGACAAGGAAAAUGCCUCAAGGAUCCCUUUUGCAUGACCCGAAUAGAAACAGGCCGAGCGAGUACAUACCAGCGAGAUAAAAUAAAUCUGUGUGUAUAUCACCCGAACGGAAGCGUGAAAACACCGUUGAGUUACCUAUUUGAAGUGGUGCAUUGCAUGGGAAUUGAAAGUACUUGUGUAUGUGUGUAUGUGUGUAUGUGUGUGUGUACAUGUGCGGUGUGUCCUUGUUGGCUUUGCAGGUGUUAUUCUUUGACAAUUCGGAUGACGAGACCGGUCACCACGCGCAUCCCUACCAGGUGGUGGGGAUCUUGCCCAGGUAUCACCAGGUAAGAAGCAAAGCACCGCGGACGGCCUGACGCAGCUUCAAAAAGGGCCAAGUACGAGUACUCGUACUGGAGUACGAGUGAACAAUGAUCAAAGGCAAAAGACCCGCUACAAACUAUCCGCUAUAGCUUUGUUAACCCCCAGACUCCAUUUCCUGCUGAAUUAUAAAAAAUUGAACCUGGCUUGUGUCAUCUAUGACGUGUUUGACUCGGAUAUCUUUCUAGGAGUCCUCAACCUGCUCUUCCCCCUUUCCCCCCUUGGUUGCAGGAGGUCCUCCUCCGCGUGUACACCCCCCACUCCGACACGCGGUACCAGACAGCCGUCAGCAGUGCGCUGGAAGCCUGGUGCCGGAAGCGGUUCGGGUCCAAGGUGCAGAUGGCCACCCCGGCGCGGGGCCGGCAGCAGCCGGCCAGCAGCAUGGCACGUGAAGUGAGCACCUGUGUUGACUGGGAUUGCGUGUGUGUGUGCGUGCGUGUAUGUGUUAUUCCUGUGGUCUUACGCUCAAGGUCAGAUCCAGUUCACUACCAGUAAACUGCCUGAAAAUAGUAUUAGAUGGGUUCUAAGGAUAUGUAGAAGAGUAGGAGGACAUAUGUCUUAGAACGAGAUAUGCUGUGUUAUUUCAGGAGGGAGCAUCGGUUGCGCUCGCUCGCCGCCUGAAGUGCACUGUACUUGCUUCUUAGGAGCCCCCGGCAUGUCCGCCUGUCGUUAUGUCUGCCUGUAGGUGGCCUUUCGCGAUGCCGACCCUCGACGGGUUACGGCGCUGCGCCUGCCAGAACCCGGCUCCGCCGCCAACGUCAACACUUUCGUAGCCGCUGCGAGCAUCUUGAACAGCGUCACCCUCGAUAAUGGUGGCGGCGACGGCGGUUUCGUGGUUGACAAAUGUCGGCUGCCGAACGGCCGUCCGGCAACGUCGGCCGCCGGUCCAAGCCGCGCCGGCGGUGUGGACACGGUCAUCAGCAUGGCUGCCGGCGUGGAGGCGGAUGUGAGCGCCGGGCGUGACGAUGUCAACGGUGACGGUGGCGGAACGCCGACGCGUUCCACGCCGUACAGCUCCGCCAGGAUGGCGCGGGUGGUGGACCCCGAGGGUGCGGUGGCGACGGCGGGACGUGGGAAGCGGCCGCGCUCGUCGAUCUCACUCUUCCAGGACGUGUGAACACGCGUGUAACGUGUUCACGCAUUCUGGGCGUGUUCUUCUGUUAAAAAGGUGAAGCGCCGUGGCGACCUCGUGAGAGGGAAGGCAGGGGAAGGUGUUUUCGAAACCGACCAUGCAGGUGUGCGUGUGUGUUGAGUUGGGGCUGCGGGGCUGCUGCGUGUGCCAUUGUGGGGGUGGAAUGGCGCCGGCGCCCCCAACGUUUUCCGUUGGGGCUGUCCUAUUUGGGGCUUGGCGCUUGGCGUUGUUUUCCUCCGGGAGAGAGGAGACGAGUUGUUUCGAACUGAAGUGGCAGGGGCAGGAUGAUGAUACAUGUAUUGAUGUAUGAGGGGGGAAGAGGCUGCUCGAGGCGCGGCUAAUAAGCUGUGUCGUGUGAAUGGGCGUAGCGUUGCCAAGUCGUUUGGAAGUUGUGGUCUGUGUCCUCUGUCUGUCCGCUGGCUGGCGAGAUUUUUCUGCGCCGGGGUACAGAGGAACACAGACUGGUAGGCAGCCAAGGGGGCAGGGAGCACACGAAUAGGCAGGCGUGCAGACUGUCGCGUCCGAAAGAUGGGAUCUAGGCUUCUCCACGAGUAUGUUAUUAUUUCCCGUAUCCAGGGGCACCGAUUCCCCCAGUGUCGUACGCAUGACGCUGUUGUAUCACCGGACCGACUUCUGUCCACCUGCAGCCUUGUUGGUCAGGAUGUGAUGAUGACAUUUUAUGGCUGAACGGAACGGACGUCCCCGCAGGAUGCUGCCGAUGGACGCAGGUUGCUUGCUUGCGCGUGCCGCUGUCGCCUUACGUGACAACCGCAUGUAUGUAUGUCUGACUGGUGGUUUUGCGCGGCCCUAGUCCUCGUGGAAGUGGAAGCCUGUGAAUCAGAUUUGCGGGGCGCACUAGUUGCCGAGCAUCACAGCAUGCGUGUGAUGUACCCCUCGUUUAACUUCUUCCCGGAAACAAACGCCUGCGGUCAUUGCCUCAUUGCGGAAACAUUAAAUGGCCCAGAAGCCAUCCACUAUGCAACACUAUUUUCUCACACUACAUGCACCUCGCAAGUUGCUUUCCGCACAGACGUGAACGGACGCGAAGUGGAAAGAAGAUCAUGAAGACCCAUAUUCCGUAGUGUCUACUAAACAUCUUUUUAUACUUUACUAGGGUGGAGAGGCCCUCAGGUAAACAAAAUGGUCCCAAAGGCGCCAUCGCCAUUGCUGUUUUUUCGUCGAAAGAUAGGGAUGAUCGCGAGAGAUUCUCUUUUGAUGAGGUCAUUGCUUGUUGCGGACCCAUGGGUCAUCACUUUUGCGGCAGUACUUCAUGAGUGCCCUCUGUUUCCUCCGUUCACCAACACCAAAUCCUUUACAAAAAAAACCAGCAUCGCCACAUUUUUCCCUGCCCUCCUAAAUCACACAGCGCAGCAUCGUAAACACACACUCAGGUGCGGUGCUAGAGGAAGUGCGUAGAAGGAGGGAUCGUCGCGGUGCCCCAAACCGCCUGCGGUGCGACGCGCAACAGUCCAAGAUGCAUGUCACAGGGAAAAAACCUUAUUGCACCCAGUGCUCCACUAAACAUGUCCGAUUGUAACAGGCCUGACCUUGUCCGGGGCUUGCCUCAUGUCGCUGUAGGCUCUUGACGGACGGGGAGAAGGCUAUCCAGGAGAAGGCUAUUCACCAUUUCCGACAAAGCGCAUUGCUGUGCACCUAUUUGUGAACUGUAAGGGAAUCGUUAAAAGAUGCUGCGCCGAGCCGCCGGAGCGUUCCUCUUCUCCAUCUCUCCCGCCUUUGCGGCGGCGCCUUGCCAACGGUAAGGAAGAGGAAAGAGGGAGGGACACAGCAUGAUCGGUGAUGAACGGUAACGAUUGACAUCCGCAACCUGUCUCUCUUUUCUCUCGCCCUUGCAUGAAUCUCGACGCAAAUGAAUGUUCAGGUUGGGCAAAUCGCAACUACGAACAAAUGAUUGUAAUCCCAGACGAAGAAAACUCUUUCCUGUUUCCUCCGAGCUGCCGUUGCGUGAAACUCUAGACGUCGUUAAGUGAUAAACUGUACGACAGUUAUCAUGGUAUACGAUAUCAUGGCGGGGUGAUAAUCAAGUGCGCCGAGCUCCGCGCCCCACCUUCACUGUCGCCGCUGCCGCUGCCGCUGCUGCCAAACAGGCUGCCCGGUGUGUUCGCGGCGGGCUUAACGACAUCCGGCGCCGCUGCGGCCGACAGCACCACGGACAAGAUCAAGGAGACCGUAUCCCGCGUGGCUGAGAAGGUGCGUCGAACAUCGCCCCUUCUGUUGCAUUUCCCGCGUUCUGGCACUGCUACCCCUUCCUCCCACCCAACCCUUCUCGUUGGACUUCCCAACGUUCCCUAAUUCUACGUCUUGUCCGUGUCUUAAGGUGAUGAUAAGCUGUACGAGGUGACGGGUAGGGUGGCUCGCUCGGUGUGUCCAGCAUUGAAAUAGAAGAAAGGAGUUCAAACAUUGGGGGGGAAGGAGCCAUCGCCGCGGCCCUGUGGCAGACACGCUAGUGCACAUGAUGCGCCGUUAGUCGACGGCCCAGAGGACGUGAGACUCGGGUGUCAACGUAGGGAUGGGGGAACAGCUUGGGGUUUUCCGUCGCACCUUCCCCCUACUGUCGUACAAACCCCCUCCCCCUCCCCGCCACCCCCCAUCACAGAUCCAUGACGCGACGGAACGAGCCAAAGAGUCCCUCAAGGGCGCCGCCGACUCCGCCAGCCAUACCAUGGGCGAGGUACGACAUCGGUUCCUCAUCACUGCCGUAUGGCUUCAUCUCCAUACCCUAACACAAUAUAUAUAAUAUACUUCUUCUUCUUUGUUAAGACAUCCGCCGUACCGCUGUUAUGCUGUUGUUGCUGCUGCUGCGGCUGCUGCUGUGAGGUUUGACCUCGGUUAGCACAGCCUUAGUCGUCCGACCCGGGUCUCGGAGCUGCGGGCCCCCUCGGCCCACCUGCUAGCACCACCCUCGGGCCGCGUCGGGCGGGUGGUACUCAGAUUUCGCAUUUGGGUGAAGUUCACCCACCUAACUACAUAGCUCCUUAAAUCCCCCUCCGCACCCACAUACACCCACAUACACACUCUCUUUUCUCCUCCUGGACACGUAACUCCACACCACCGCCGCACGUCAUCCCGACACGUUAACCUCCGACACCAUCUCCCUCCCUCCCCUCGGCCCCCAAAACGAUUUCCAAACCCUGCAAACCUUCUUUCGACGUCGGCAGCUUGCUGAACAUAUUUCCCCACUGCCCCCACUCCUCUUCCAAACACACCGCCUGACAGUACAAGGACCGUGCUCGGGAAGGCGUCGACAACACCAAAGCAGCGGCGAGCGACAUGAAGGAACAAGCCAAGCAGGUGCGGGGGUGUAUAUACGGACAGCAUAGGGUUGUACGGCACAGCAUUGUACAGAGGAAAAGCGGGUAAGGGCAGCGGAGACCCCCCCACUGCACGGGCUCCUGCCUCUUGACAACCCCCGCCCCACACGGCCCUCGCAAGGGGGGAGGGCGAGGGGGGAGGGGGGUUUGGUUACGGAAGGCGGGAGGAGGGGAGACACCUCGUGGGCAUGAUGGUUGCGAUGUCUGAUAUGAUGAUGUCCCUCUUGUGUGUUUUCUCGUGUGUGUGUGUGGCGAUGGUACGGCAGCGCAUGUCCCAGUACGGCGAGGGAGCUCGGGAGGGACUUCGGGAGGCUCGGGACUCCGCAUCCGAGGCCGUUCAUUCCGCCGGCGAGCAGGCUAAGGUGAUCAAGAUGGGGCAUGAGGGCGGGAGGGCUUGAGGGAGGGAGGGCAAAACACACGUCACGCACACGCACAAAGGUCUAUGCAAGGUAUAUUGCAUGCGGCCUCGUAUCGCUUUUCCCAACGCCCCCUCUUUUUUAAGACCCUCAAUUGACAAUUUUGAAGGUUCAUCCAAAGUUGGAAACACCUCACUCGAAGACAGAAUCCUGUCCGGAUUUUGGCGUGCAAGAAGUACUCUGUCGCACUUAAUCGAAAUUUCCAAGAAAUUUCCAAAUCUGCAAAGCACACUCGCUUCCUGCGCUCUAGACGCACCCUCCGUACAAGUUCGCUCGCGCACACAGCAGGCCGUAUCUGUGGCAUCUAUCACUGCCAGGUGCUGCAGUGUAAGGUGGCUUUGUGCAAGAAUUGUGUUUCGCACGUAGAACUCUUUUCCACACCCAAACGCCGAGUACACGACUUCGCCCUAUUAAGGGCUUAUGAUGGAACUCACGCAAGGUGCCAAAUGCAUUUGCGGCCACGGAAAAACAAUGCGGUCGCGUAAUCCUCUCACGCAGCACUGGUGGUGGUUUGGGUGGGUGAUGGGUGAUGGCCGGCUUCUAUGGGUCGGCAUAAUGGGCCAAUCUAUGUCCAGGGCUGUUCCUACCUCUUUUCUGGCAACAUAGCACAAAGCUGUGUUCAAUCUAUAUUGCCAACUUAAAGCUUGCCUUCUGUAGAUUGCAAUAUAAAAAACGGAGAGUUAACUCGUAGCCGUGAGGUUGAAAUCUCUAAUUAAGUCACAGUCAGGGUCGCCAAAAGCCCAAAUAAUAAGCGCUCCCGGCAACCGGCAACCGACAAACGGCAACCGACAACCGACAGGAGUCUCUCCGCGGCGCGCGCGACAGCCUUCGGGGCACUGCCGAGGCGGCCGGGGAGAGAAUCCGUACCACGACGGCAGAGGGGCAGCAGCAACAGGGCGUCAGCGGUGUGGACGAGCAGAGCGACGUGCUGGGCAGCACUACCCCGACGGCGGAGGGCGGCAGCCGGGGGGAUGAGGCGGCGCGGGCGGCGGGGCGAGUGGUUGGGGAGGUGGGUGGGUGGGGGUUCUGCUGGCUAGCUGGCCGAUUGGCUGGUUGGGGUGUACGUAUGUUGUUACAGGCACAAGAGUUGUGAAAUGGUCCGGCCUGGUGGUUAACUUCGCCAGCGGCCCCCUUUCCCGGGGCAGUCCCUGCUCUCCCCUGAUAGAGGGGCACCCUAAUCCGUCACCCCAUCCGACUUCAGAAUGUAUUCGUUGGGUUCGGCAACUCACCACCAGCAUCCAACCAAAUCUAGCGGAUCAACGGCGCAUCAACUUAGUUCCUGGUUAGCUCGCAAGUUGAUUUAAUCACGUCCUACAUCGUCCAUAUGAUGGGGGGCCACCUCCCAUUUCAACACUCCUCAAACAUCCAAGGAGCCGGCAGGCGGAUUUGAACCCGAGAAGUCAGGCCUUAACCUCUGCCAGCCGCCUGCCUACUGGGGUGUAUGUCUGCCUGGUUGGGUUGGCGCUCGUUAUUAUGUCGAUUUCGCUCCUGGGAUACAUAGGCUGUCCUAGGUUGCCAGAAGUGCAGAUUGCAACUUAGGGGGUUAACACAUGUGCUCUGUGUGGAUGACACGAAUGCAGAUGAUGUGUAAUCGCUGAAAAACCACGCGGACAACAGUACACGGUGCUUCGCCGUUUGUCACCGCGCCCGCUCUCACACAGACAGACAGACAGACAGACAGACAGACACGCGGUAACCCCUGUGGAUUAAAACACAUGUGCUGUGCUGUGUGUCCACAUGACAAGAACCACAUGACCACACCUACCCCGUUGCUUACCUGACACCUCCACCUCCACCCCCUCCGAAUGACAACUGACUCGUACAGAUACAAGAGCCUCCCUUGAUGAUUGGUUAACCUCUGCUUGAUUUCCAUGUACCCUCCCUUCCCCCUACCCUCCCUCCGCCAUACAGACUGCUUCGGCGUUCAGGUCGGGCCAGGAGGAGGGGGAGCGCCGCAAUGGUGGUGGUAGCGGGCGCUAGGGACUCGCUGGCAGACAGACAUGCUGCUGCAGUAGUGCGCGUGUGCCUUUGGAAGAAGUAAGAGAACUUGCGGACGCAGAACCGGCAUGCGAUAAGGCAAAAAGAUUGGGGCGUUGUCCCUCGUUGCCUUUGUUUUAAAGAAGCGCUGUCGUUGCUGGGAAAAAGGGGUGUGUGAUAUGCGUGCCAUCAGCGUUAAAGCCCGGGUCGGCUGGGGGGGAGGUAACUGGUCGCAGGGGAAAGAGGGAGCUGGACACCUUCCAAGGAAGUUCGUAGUUGUUUUUAAUGUCUCGUUCGCGAUGACAGAAAAAGUGAAGCAGUUGAUCGUUGGCAGUACGGACGUUGUAAGCUUUUCCAAACUUUCAAACUCCUGUACGGCAGACUGAAAUCCGUGCAAUGUGGCUAUGAUGCCAUAUAGCACACUGCUGAAUUAACAAACAGAAAUAUUGCAGUGUGUAUUCCACUUAUCUUACGGAUAACUACACUUGUUUAACACUGAUGGCCACCGUAACCAUCCAUCAACACCACAAACCCUAAAAAGGCAAAUCAGACCCGAAAUCGGUGUCGCGCGACUAGGACAUGGGCAGGUGACACAACAAGCCAGGGCAGCUACACCUCCCAACGGACCGAACUACUGGCGAGAAGGAAGCGCGACAACGAACUGUCACAAAAACUUAACAGUAAAACCUUUGCUUGCUGUGUUUGUUGUGUUGCACUAGUUGUCUAACACAAUGGUUUCAGAGAAAAGGUAUUAGUGUGUGUGUGUGUGUGUGUGUGUAUCGUGGUGGUGGGGUAUAGGUGCUGUUAAGUGCUGUGGGAGAGAGCGUUAAGUCCCCUCAGGGGCAGGUAAGGUAAUUAGUUAUAAUGGCGGCAGAGGGCUUUAUGGCUCCUGCCGGACGAGAAAGUGCUAAGAAGGAGGGAGGGAGGAGAGUUAGGGGGAAGAAUACACAGAAAAUGUUCCUGUGUGCGCACCUCUUAGUCUGCAUAGUAAAAAGCUGUUAUGGAAGGAUAUUUAAAUUUAACACCUGUACACUCAUCCUUGCUAGGAGUGCUGUGCACGAGAGCUUUGUCUACAGUCAGAGGCGCCCAUGUUUUUUGCUUCAGCCUAUAUAGCCACGUUUUGCGAAAGGCCUGCCAGGACCUCCGCGGUGAACGAGCACGCAACCUCUACUUCGUCCCCUUAUGUAUAGCAUAUGACCCAUCAGCCAGGCGUUACCAGUUGUGGGACCACAAGUGCAUUACAUCGGUUGUGAUGUCCUGGGAAGAAAGAAAAAGUCUUUUUUUCCACCUUUUGCCUUCGCUGCGAUUUCGACACCAAGGACAUAUGACUGACUAAUACUUAUAUCACCGCUGCCAAGCCUUUCCUUUCCCUACCUGUGAACGCAAAAAUUAUCCUAAGUGUAUACUGCUACAUAGUAAGCGCCCAAACAAAAUAAGGUCGGCGUGCGCAAGCCGAAAAAAACACCAAAAAACAAGCCGGCGAAAACAGGAAAGAAACCAAACCGCACAAGCUUUCGUAAAGAUGGCAUGGCCGUAUGGGCGGAUGCCAUCUCACAAAUUUAUGACCAUCAGCAGCCGAGCCGAGCAAAGUACGGUAUAGGUACACGACACUCAUAAAGCAUUUUCUACAGAUCGGCUAAUACAUGCUGGGGCCUUAUCCUUGAGCUGACUCGGCAAGCCAUGCCAGCGUCAUUAGCUCAGCCGGCAUGCGGAUCAAAAUAUCCUGAGUCGGCGAAAAAUGGCGAGGCACAGCCUUACCGGGAAAAUCACAACCUGACAAAACCGGAUGCGAGCCUUCGCCCCCAAAACGCCAAGCAGGCCACGACCUCCAAGACGCCAAACACCCAGUCCCCCACCAGACCCCAGGAUCCCUAGUGGACGCACGAGAGCUCUCGUCUCCCCCGGGGGACGGGAGGAACGCAACGCACGCCGAGGCAUUCACACGGACCGGCUGGCCAUGAUGAGGCCGCCGCCAUCGCCAGCCGGUUAGCCGGAAGCCCCUUCCUAACAGUAGUCCUCCAUAACAUAUGGAGCAGAGCUCUCCGCGAUGAAGAUGUCGGAGCCGCCGGUGGAGGCAAGCCGGGAAAUUUCUCUUGGGAAAUUCCAAAGACUGCCAAAUAUCGCGGAAGGUUCCCAAGGACUCAACCCGAAGGACUCAACCCAAAGAAGCCAUUCAUGCACGUAACCGUACACCCAAACAACGCAGCAGUACAUAUGAAAAGAUAAGAAACCCGAGUCCUCCUUCUGCUCCGUUCGUUUUGCCCCGAAACCAGCAUAGGACAUGAUUUGGGGCCGGCAACUGACAUCAAACUGACACCGCAAAAUCACGAAACUCAACUGCGGCACUACUCAGCAGCGGGCCUCACAGCAGGAAGUCGACCUGACGAUUAGCAAUACUCCGCGCGCGAGCGACAGAGGGAGGGAGAGAAAAAGAGAGACAGAGAGAGAGGGAGAGAAGGCGUCGAGAGGGCAACGGAGGUGGAAGAAUGGAGCCAUCUAGAACGAUCCAUCAAUUUCCCCCCUUCCGCACGGGCACCGAUUCCGGCCCCAAGACCAUCACGCAGUGCCUUUGCCCCCUCGUUUCGAAAUGCACACACUCAACACAUACACAAGUUGCGACAUGCCACCAUCAUCGCAAGAGUGUAAACAAGUCACACGAAGCGCCGCGACGGGGUGGCCACCCACCACCGUGAACCCCCCUUUUGCUGAGCUGGCUCCCUUUCACGAACUACAUUCCCACGAAACCCUUGAGAGCAUUAGCCUCCCCAUUUCCCUCAACCAUUACCGAUAUAUAGCGUUUUUAUCAGCAGCCGCAGCAGCCAACCGCAUCCUCGCAUUCCCCUGCCUGCCUGCACCACGACAACACUGUCAUUAUUAUAUUCAUUAAAAGCCCUGUAAGAACUAUAUCGCUUUUCAAAGUCCGCGAAACGAACACCGAGAUCCCCGUGCAUCCGCGGCGGCGGGGCCCAAGGACUGCUGUCAUUGCCGCCACAGCCACUUCACAGUCGACCCUUUUUUUUGCCAGCUGGCUUACCAAGCGCCCACCACGCGAUACCUUCCCAUGGGCCGCCGGCCGCUUUCCUCAAGCACGAGCCAGUUCGCCAGUCCGAAAGAUGCGUCCGUCAAAAACUUCGAAAUUACCGCAGCUUGGUCUGCAAAGGUCUGGUCUAUCAACACAGAGCUCUAUCCUGUACUUUCUAGUACUCUCAACAACUUUAUAUCCAGCUUUAUUCCAGCCCGUUCAUGAUUAUCGUACACUGGUCGUACGGUCAUCGAGAAGGGAGAGGGAAGGAUCCUAAGACUAUUUCCCCCGCUGCAACCGCCAUGGACACCAAAGCGAGCCAUUGGCGGCGCGCGAGGUGUUCACCUUGUCGUCAUUCACACAGCAUCAACGAUCAUCAACCAUCACAGAAAAUACAACAUCAAGACAAAAAGCAAUGUGUGUAUGUUGUACAUGAUGAGACGCGCCUGUUUGUUGUACAGAUGAGAGAGUACAGAAGAGGGACAGGGGACCCGCAAAAAGGCGACUUCUGAAAAGGUAAGCCAGCCAGCCUGUACGGCGGCGAAAGUGGAAACCCAGCGAGCCCACCAUGUGGAUGUCAAGAAGUACGACAGUACAUCGAGGUAUCGGUCCGACAUACCACCCGUACAUGUGCCCUGCACCCAUGGCUGUGCAUCACGCGGAUCGCCCCUCCCUCUCUGCCAAGCUGUCACCCCCAAGGGCCGGCGUAUGUGACCCCAACAGAAAAACACAUUUUUCAACCGAAGUCCCCAGCCUGGAUCUUGGAGCACGUGUUUUUCACGCUCUAAUCCUCUUUCCUUCAUGAUGGAAGGUCAGAGGGGUCCGCCCUGAGGUUGCUGCCGCAGCCGCCGUCGUUAAAAAUACGAGCAUCAUAAGUUGCAGCAGAUAUCCACCGCAUUCCAGGUAUAUGCGAGACAGGCACCCAUGUUAUAAAAGAGUUGGGGAGCUCCCGCUCUCUAGCGUCUCUCUACAAUAUUAACCUACUGGGCUAGAGUGGAGCCGCAGCCAGUGGGGUCGGGGUUGCAGCCGAUGAGUCGCCAUCGGCGUGAACAGGCUCGUUAUUGGUCGAAGCCGCUCGCCUCGCUGACAUCGCCGCACAACGCGUAGCAGCCUCGUAGGCAUUCAGGCCUCGUAGGUUCACCUUGUCCUCUGCAAAAAUAUUGCGACACCAUCGCUUUAUGAAGGUUUCAGAGCACUGGCAUUACAGCCAUGCUAUAAGGCUUUAGUGGUAAAAAGCCCAUGCAGUUAGCACUCAGAUCGUUAGUGUUAUUAGCGGAAAUAGGAAAGCUGGAGAACCCUAGUCCUGGUCUUACCAUGUGCAAGCUUGACCUCAAAGGCUACUUCGAACAUGCGAUUGCUUAGACCAAAGAGCUCGUUGACUUUCCGCUUGAAGGCUGCUUUGCCCUCAGGGCCAGGCAAAAUUGGGAUCUUGUACACUGCGAAACGCCAACAACUCCGGAAGUGAUGUUACUGUGCACGCGGAUGCUAGCUCACAAUUAAGCAUACCUGUGUUGUUGAACACCACCGCUGCCAUAAGGGGCUUUGGUACGUCCUCAUCCGGGGCUUCCGACCCUGCAAGAAGCGUCGCUUGCCAGUCCGGAAGCUGCUUGAAGCAAAAGCGGCACUGACGCUCCUCGCUGUUCAAGGCGAUAGAAGACAAAAGAAACAUGUCAGAAGAUAUGUGCGUCGCCGUUUGCUUAAACUUCGGUGGAACCAACCUUCUUCCCGAAGAAUGUAAUUGCCACCUCGCCAGGCAUUCUCGAUGAACCGGGCGACCCUUGCAGGCACAAGGGGUUAGGAGAGGCUUUGCCGCCGUCCCCUCCUGGAGGCAAAUGUAGCAAGAAGGCUCACUGUUGGCCUCGACGUCAAAGUUCGUGUCGACGCCGAGACCAGUGAUAGCACUCAUUUUGAUGUAAAAAAUUAGAAACUCAGAAGUAUAAUAUGUACGAGAUUCCAACUGCGUAUUUGUAAACCACUGAACGUCUCGGAGGAGUAAAUCUCCGCUGCCCUGCUCCGAGACCUGCGCUGACUGGACUAAAAGAUUUUGAGGCCUUUAGUACUGUUCAACUUAUCCACUUUCCUAUUUUUCAGCUCUAAUGAAUUAACUGGUGUCAUCUUAAAUGUCGACUUUGUAUCUGGAAUGUCUGGAAACAGUCUUCUGACGAGGGCUUUUCCUUGAGCCGGGCUGGUCUAUCACCCACAGCGGGGAGGCAUCAUGGAAGCGAGGGUGACAAAUACCUUAUAACCUACAGCAACCUCUUAACUCUUGUUUGGUAAACUGGCUCAACACUAGUUUUCAGGUAGCAUCCCCUUCGGAAAAUUUUUCAUGCGUAUAUAUAUUUAUUUAUGCCCAAGGGUAGAACCUCAUGGACUGAAGUCCCCUGGGCGCAAUCCCCUUGCUUGGCUUUGCAUGUUGGGGCUCAGCAGGAAUGGAAGGGCAGGCCUCUACUGAGGUUCCUCAGGAGGGGCCUGAGGGCCUUCCCAUGGGGGCCCCCACGGUGCACUUCAGGCACAGAGGAGAGCUGUGGAGAGGGUUAGAGGCGGCUCAUAUGGCUGCUGCUGAAGCUGCUGCUAAUUGUAACAGUAAACGCAAACGUUUUACACGUUAGUAAAGCAAUUCACGCCCAUAGGCCGUUGGUUCGGGGCCAUUGCGGGCAGACGGAACGGUGCAGCACCAAACAGAAGUUGCAAUAUUAAGGUUACAGUGCUUGUGUCAGUCGGCAGGCGGGUCGGGUUUCGUCGUGAAUGACCUUCAGCACAGAGCUGUCACUGGCAGGUAACGCUUGUUCGACUGUACCAGCUAAUCGUCAUGCCAUCUGCCUUUCCAUCUACGCAAGAAAUGGAAAUAAAACGUUUGCGCCCUUAUUGCAGCUACAGGACAAGGCUAAAGCUGUAUGCACUCUCUAUGGAGUGUCGAAGUACGUUCUAUCUACGGGGCGAGCAAAGAGAACAUCCAAUUUUGUUUCACCUUCAAAUAUCCCUGCCGAACAAACUAUAUAUCAUUAAGCAUCGACAUAACAGCGUGCUUAUUAAUGUUACCAUCGUCACCGGAUAAGCCCAAAACCGCGCAAGACAAGCUAGCCUUCAGAAGUUACCCUACUUCAUCAAUCCUCACCUGCGUAGUGAAUAUCUGGGCAUAGUUAUCACGCUGGUUUUCUACCCUAAGGUCUGCUGGCCUUAGCAGGCGCCCCGGAUAGCAUCCUCUUGCUCUUAAGCCAAGGUUUAAUAACGCUACCGGUGACAAAUGCCUAGAGGGAACCCAGCCAUAUGGAAGAAACACGGAGCAAGCUAUGCGGAGCUGGCAGGGACAACCACAUUGAUAGAGCGCGUGCAGGAUGUGGCACCGCGGCGCUUACCUCCCGUUUCUCCGGCCGCCCUCGCUGAUAUGCGCUCAACAAAACCAGCUGGCACACCGUCGUUGAAACCUCACAAAGGAACAGGCUCGUUUGUCAUGCAGGUACGAGGAUCGACCAAUCGGCGGACCAAACAGGGGCCAGGGCUUGGGUGCUCAUUGCUAUUGGUGUUAGCUCGUUCAUUCACUACCAUCCAUCCACUGCUUAUGACUCAAAGCAUGGAGUUGCUCUUGUCGGUUGCAGGGCUCUCGGGGAAUGCACGUACAUCUCUGGCUCUGUCCCGUAGGGGAUACAAGUCGGCUGGUGGCUAUAGCUCUAGUUGGAUGGCUCAGCGCGCUUUGCAUGGAAACCACUGUAAAUACAGUACAGCCGCAUGAAACUGAAACGGCAAUAGCACUAACGGUAACAGCAGCGCUCCCCGUCUAGUCAGAUCUCUUUCCCCCACGCUUCAGCUUUCGACGCUGUCUCUUUCUCUCUCUCGCGCGCGCACACACGCACACGCAUACACCUCCUCUGAACCACCAGCUUGGUGGCACAACACUCUUUUGGCGGCCAAUAAUGCCCCUAACCCUCCCCCCCCCUAAGCCUCCCACCUAAGCACUUCCCCUUGCAUGACCGAACCCCGCCGCAACCAGCUUUCCCCCCAUUACUAUUCCCCGCGUUAUCAUCUUCUCCACCCCUUCUUCCAUUUCCCGUUUUGCUCGCGUAGUCGACUUGGAGUUUGGGUGUGGUGCCUAACGCGGGAGGGACCGGAACAUCAGCGGCCACUGGCGGCAGCGGCGACGGUGCCGCCCCGGGGCCCUCUUCGGCCGCGGCGGCGGCGGCGACGACGUCACGUUGGGCUGCUGUGUCGGCGGCGGCGGGCGGAGGGCCCGUGACUGCGGGCCUGCCGCCGCGGUCGUACAGCACAGAAACCAAGUUUAACUACGGCCCGCCGCCGUCGGACUUCCGACGAACGGUACGUGCUCGUACACGGAGAAUGUACGGCAAGCUCACCGAGACACAACUUUGCGUGUUCUUGGCAAAAAGGAGCAGGACAGUUGCAAAUCGCUGAGUAAAAGUUCCCCUCCUUGCUUCUUGCUCCCAAUUUCUCCUCUCCCGUUUUCUCCCCUUGUUCACCCCCCCCGGUUUCCCCCCCUCAACCCCCUCCCCCCCUCCUCUCCUCCUCCCGCAACCCCACCACAGAGGAGCGCCGGGCCCCCGGUGUCCCAGUUCCCCAAACCUGGACAGCCCAACGAUUGGAAGUAAGCUGAGGGUGGGGCCGGGGGGCCAGACUGGGAGUGGGAAGCGGGAGGGGGGGUCAGACUGGUGGGGCGGUUGCAUUCGGAGGAGGGGAGGCGGGGGGAAGGUAAAGGGGGGUUGGAAAGGAGGGUUACGGAUGGGUGGGCAGUAAGACCAUGGUAAGACCAUGGAGGGCCCCCCGAACCGCUGCAACCCUCUUCCCUUUUCCCCUUUUCCCCUUCGUCUGCACCUGAUCGGCGUAAGUCCCCAGCCCCAGGCCCCCCACACAGCGCCUCGAGCCGCUUGCGAUUGGAUUUCUUCUAAUAACUUCCUGAGGUGGCGGUUUGGCCGCUCUAAUUUGGCUGUAUCUCCUAACCUUCCCUACCUACGUCCCUUCCUCCACCGCCGCCGCCGCCGUGUACAUCUCUCUCAGUCACCCACCCACCCACCCACCCACCCACCCACCCACCCACCCACCCACCCACCCGUCGCGACACCCGCCCGUGUUUUCAAUGACAGAACGCUGAAGCAGGUCGAUUUCCGACCGGAGCUGGCAGCAGGUGCACCACCACCCCCGGCGCCUUUCAAGGCUCACUCGUCCGGGCCGCUGCUGCCCAAGGAUGUCCCGACGAACUCGCAAUUCGUAACGCAGCACCAAACUCACUUUGCUGGCCAAUCCUUUCGGGAGGCGCAGUCGUUGCGGCCGUCGGGCUGUCGAGCGACACAGGCGGCGCCGUACAAUAUCAUCACUGGUGCAAUGCCGUACAACAACAAUGCAUUUGAGCACUGGGAUGGACGAGAUUACCGACGGCACCGAUGAGCAUGUUGCGGGGGUCCCACGGGUGGCGGUUAGAGUGGUGGUUGUGAGGCUUAGUUUUAGGGCAGUUGUUACUGUUGGUGGUUACCAGCAUGGGAAGUUAGGAUAGAGCGGACUCGACGGGUUGGAGAUUGACGACGCGGGCUGCGACCCUGGAUCCAACCCAAGUGGCCACGUGUGGGUGUAGUUAGGGUUUUAAGGUUUUAGGGUUUUAGGCGGGAGGGCCCGCGCGUGGUUGUGUGUCGCACAUGUGGCAGCGAGUCUACCUCCCUCCAUCCAUCCCUCCCUAGUUUCCUUUCGGAUACUCGAGCAGAUCUUUAUUUCUUGGCUUGUGUGUAUGUGCUCGUGUGUGCACGCAUGCAUGUAUGUUUGUAUGUCAUCUGCGUCUUUAUGCAUGUAUGUAUCUGUCGUCCUGUCACCCUCCCGCGUGCAUGCAUAUGGUAAUCACGCUGACAGAGAUGACGGAAGCCCUAUGCUCGUCCCGCGGUUUGACUCGUGUAUUUUUUAUUCUUAAUACUAUGAGGUUUGAGGGGCCUUAUGACAAGGUUUCCCGUAUAGGACAGUUUCGAACAGUCUCCCAAGGCCCUUGUUCUUUGCCUUUGACGCUGUGUGUGUGUAUGUGGUAGGGGGGGAUGUUUGCGCCCAGGUGGGUGCCCUGGGCUGUAGCAUUAUGUGUGUGAGGACGAGAAAUGCUGUACAGCAGCCGUAACAGCAGCCGUAGCAAGGGUGGCAGCGGUCGUGGUAGAGUACAAACGCAGUUUAGGUAGAGCUGUUUGUGCUUUACUUGGCCUCCCAAGUCUCCACCACCACCACCACCACCACCACUAAGGAGGUCCAGCAGGGCCUGUUCAGUUUUCAGUGAACCGUUUAGUUUUUUUAGUUGAUUAGUUAGUCACUUUGUGUUAAUUUGUGUUACUUUUCGUGUGGAGUUUUCAUUCGGGAUAGUGAACGAUUUUCAAACCUUGUUUGGAGGCGGUGAAUAGCGGAUAAGUCGCUUGGACGGGGGUUGUAAGAGAGAAAGGAGGAGGUGGGGGAUUGGCAGGUCCGGCAAUUCGGUGUACGGGAGUUCGUAGUCCAUAUCACGAAAUAGGGCAAACCUUCAACGUACAUGUCUUUUUUUGGCCAUGCUGUAAGCACCUGCGAAUCCUUUCCGAAGGUACCCCACCAGCCCCACCUCCCAAUUCCCCCCCAUGAGACGGUUGUAACUGUUCAUAACGACAUAUCUCCAGCGACAACGUAAUAAAUUUCAGAAAGUACCCAUCAGGUGACUUUGGCCCCAGCCCCGUGCAACUACACGACCUGCAUUCCAACCUAGCGCCACCCCCAACCCCCCUGCACCCAUAACUCCCGCCCCGUCUCUCUCCGCUCUUAGCUGUGGUGGUUAGAAGACGGUUGGACCCUAACCACUAAACCACCAGCCGCAAUUCCUGGGCCAGCCCGGCUAGCACGCAAACCGCCAGCCAGGCCCGUUCCGGCUCGGCCACGUGGGCCUCCCAAACCAGGCGGAGAAGCGCCGCCGCCAGUGCCACCGGUGACAGUGGAGCGCCAGGGGCGGCGGCGGAGGCGGGGCCGACCCUGGCCGUAGCCGUUACCUCCCGGCGGCGCCGCCGGCUCUUUGAAACGCUAGGGCUGCCGCUGCUUUCGCCCCGCCUAGUAUGACUGGUAUCAUCGCCAGCGGCGAUGAAACCCGGCCGUCGCGCAUCGUACAUGAGUAAAUCUAAACGAAGCCGCCGUGCAAGCCCCGCCAGCACCUCCGUCCGGACAAAUACUGCAAUGUCGUACAACGUCGAUGCGGCGGCGGCCGCUGCGGUGGCGGCUCCGGGAGCAGCCGUCGGAUCUGCCGCCGGUCGUCGUUGUUGUGCCCUGUGCGAGCCCUCGUCCGCCGCUGAUAUCGAACAUGCGCCCGCCGCACCCGGAUCCGCCGCCGGCGUGUUGGCAGGUGUGUAUGCCGUACCGCCAUGCAAGCCGUACAAGUACCUUGCUAAAUGCGUGUGCAGCGCCAAGCGACCUAGCGCCGCUGCGCCCUCCUGAGGUAACUCAUCCUCUAAAACCAUUUCCUCCUCCAUUUCGCCAUCGCCAAUCUCCCUUCCUUGCUUCAUCACUACAGCCGUAGCUGCCGUUUCCAGUGCCUGCAGUCGGCUGUAGCCGCCUGCGUCAAGCCCCAGGCCGAAGACCGCAUCACAGCAUCGAGCGGCCUCGAAGGCUGUAGCUGGGAUAACUGACGCGUAACGGCUGACAUGGCGCCGCACUUCCGCCGCACGCUGCUCGUCCAUGUACGGCAGGGCCGCCGGCAGCUUGGUCCUCCAAGCGGAGGUACGGCUGGCAUGUUCGGCGUCAGCGCGGUCGCUGUCGACGCUGGCGGCUCUGGUCUCCCUGUCCUUCAUCCCUUCCCGCCCAGGAGAGGAGGAGAACGGCCGCCCGCCCGCCUGCCAAUUGCUGUGCCCCUUGCCGCGUUCAACAAGUGAGUCUAGGUCAGCACCGGCGAUGCCGUCAGCACCGCCAGCACUCUCGUCGCCGUACUCAUCGUCGGUGUCGGCGCCGUCACCAAGUGGCCAGCUGGUGACGGGGCUGGAGGUCUUGCCGCCGCCGCCGGCGUCGCUGCCAUUACAGGCUGGGCUGCCAGAGCGCUUCCUGAUCGGGUCUGCGCCAGAGAGACUGAGCCCGGCCAGCUCAGCACCGGUUUUGGCAUCCCCAUCGACACGUUCGCAUGGCUCGCUGCACUUACUCCGGCGCUGCUCCUGAUCCUCGAGGGGGAUGUUAAGGGGUCGUGUGACAGCUAAGAUGAGGACGGUGAGGAUCCAGCUCAAAGCGAGCACUGCGCUACCGAGGAGAGCUGUAAUGGCCGCCCAAAGUAAUGCUGGUGGCAGACGCAGCACACCAGCAAGCUUUGCGAUCGGGCAAGAAAAUGCAGAUGGAAGCUCUAGCACCCCGCGUAGGAUGCCUAGCACACCGCCGGAGCGCAGUCGGCUGAGCAACGCAUGCAGUCGCUGAGCAUGACGCUUGCGCGCCAUUCUACCGAGUGUUCAGCGAUUAAGACUAACUGUCUUGUCUAUAUUCCUAAAGGUGUUUGCUUGGUAACCUUUUCUCCUGGGAAGGUUCUUGUACGCAUUCGUGCCGUAUGGAAUGGCGGGAGGCACAAAUGCGUUGCUUCAUCGCAGAAUGAUGUCCCGGUUUCCCAUGGACAUUUGCUUGGCAAAAUGGACCCCGCUUCUUUUGCGGAAGGCGUUAGGUGUCAGUAGCUGCUAAUUCAUCUUUUAAAGGUAGCCCCCGUAGACGCCCUGUUCUGUUUGUGCCGCAGUUAACAACUGUGUUAUACCUGUAUAUAUAUGCUGCGGCAAAGAGAUAAGUAUGCUUAUUUGCCUAGCUUAUAGUUUAUGCUUAGCUUAGACUGGUCUUCGUGGAGUUACGCGCGGCAUGAGCCUUAAAGCCAAGCGCACAAAUGCGCAACGUCGCUCGUAUGCAAACGAGAACAACAUGGAACAAGAAGCUUAUGAGGAAGUAAGCGUGCGGUUAUGUGUCACGUGGGAGCAGAGGAGUCCCUGAACGAUAUCUCCCGUUCUCGACGUUGCCCUCUGAGGCUAAAUAAUAGCGUAAGAACGCGGCAUAGGGAGGAAGCGCUGCCCCUUCUGGGCCUAUCUACCCACCUAUCUCUCGUCGCAACCCUCGCUUUCGGCCCGGGUCCCUUUCCCAUUUCGCAAGAUCCCUCCCGCAUCCCCCCAUGGCAAUGCCCAUACGAUCCUCCUUUCCAUUUUUUGUUACCUAGCAAGCAACAAACUGGGUCAGCCUCGUCCUUUCGGCCCAGCUUAGAGGGUAUCGCUCCUAACGCCGCGCUGGCAAAUAGUCCACCUGUACUUUGACGCCGGGCACUUACGAACAAACACCCCCUUUUGGCAUCAUCAUCACUCCUCCCCAUGCGCCUGCCGUGCCGUACGGUAGUUGGACGGCAGCGGUGAUGAUGGCGACGACUUUGAGGAUGCUGCGGCCGCCGCGAGACACGGCGGUGGCAGUGGCGGCCCCCGGGGCCGCCGCGGCGGUAGCGGCGCCGCCGCCAAUGGGCCAGCACGUAAGCGCCCCCGCACCGCAGCACACCAGCAGGCUGGCAGAGACGGGUACGAUGACGACGACGGCGGCGACAACCUAAGGGGCGCUUCCGAGCCGUCGUCAGAGGAGGAUUCUGGCGGAAGCGACCCGGAAGCUAGCGAUGACGGCGACGGCGGCAGGGCUGGCAAGCGCCGCCAAGGCGCUGGCGGAGGCGGCAGUGCGGGAGCGAGAGGACGCGGUAAAGCCAGGGGUCGCGGCGGCGGCCCCGCCGGCGGCGGAGCGUCAAGUCGGGGUGGCCGCGGCCGUGGGCGGGGCAGCGGAUCAGGGGUGGCAGCCAACGGCGGGGGUGGUGGCGGCGGCGGAAGAGGAGCCGUACGCGAGGAAGGCAGGAACGACAGCGACGUCAUAAUGUUGAUCAGUGAUAGUGAUGAAGAUGGCGGCGGGGGUCCUGGCGGCGGCGGCGGCGGCGGGGGCGGGGGCCCUGGCGGCAGCGGCGGCGGCGGCGGGGGUCCUGGCGGCGGCGGCACCCAGGUGAGUGUGUAUUACCUGUUUAGGAUAGCGGGGCACGUGAAGCUUAUGAGCUGGUUGUGGGCCAGUCGGUUGGUUGGAUUGGGGUUUAGUUCGGUUGGUUGAUUGGUUAAUUAGUUGGAAGUUAGGGUUCGCUGGUUGGAACAGUUGUUACCGGUUGCUACAGCGUUUUGGUCUUCCUCCGUCGCCGCCGCCAUCUUCAGCGCCAUCCUGCCGCCAUCCCAACCGCCAGCACCACAACAAAACAGAAUCGCUGCCAUCAAGAGCUCCGUUUUGCCGCCUUCUCCGUCCCCCCAGCCGCCCACUCCAUUCUUACCAAUCUCCUCUUCCUUUCCCUCCCACCCCCCUCCCCCCCUUUUCAGACGCCGCGAGGAGGCCGCGGAAGAAGCGGCGGCGGCGCUGCCGCCGGCCCCUCCAGCAUCGCUCCUUCCAGUCAACGCCCCAGCCGCGGCGGCGGCGGCAGUCGUGGUGGUGGCGGCGGCGGCGGCAGCAGACCGAACAGGAAUCCCAUUCAGCCGCGCUUCGAUGGUGACGAUGGAGAGGAUCCGGCUGCAGCUGGCGGUGGCGGCGGCGGUGGCGGCGGCGGUGGCGGCGGCGGCGGCACUCCGCAGCGGCGGCGUGCGUACAUGGCCCCGGCGGUGCCGCUGGAUAUCAAUGCUGAGGAGCUGGCCAGGAUGAGACGGCUGGUGAGUGUGGGGGCGAGGUGUGUGUGUGAGGGGAUCGGGUGUGUGUGUGUGAGUGUGGGGGCUUGCGGGGGGGUUGGGGACUAUGGGGUUGUGUGCGGAGUUGUGUGGGACGUGGGAGAGGGGGUUACAGGUACGGCUUAUGACUAUUGAGGGGGGGAUAACGUGGCCUUGGCCAUUACAAGGCGGAUGAUGUUGAUGAUGGGGAAUGGAAAAAAGGCAGUACCUUGCUGCUGAUUCCAAAGAAGGAUUGAGCUGCAAAAAAGCAAAGAGAUGUGUGUGGGUUUCGGAGCAGAAUGAGGUGGGGCGAUAAUUCUUCGAACGACAAAGGAUUAUCCUUAGGAUUCUCCCCUUUUUCCAGACCAGAGAGAAAGACCAGAGACAUUAAGAGAGGUAAGUUUUGGGCUGUAAGGUUGUUUACCCUUGGCGUGCUCAUGCUUUGUCGUACGCCGUGUACAUGUUUUGCAGGUGAAGCGCUAUCGCGACGAGUGGGAGGCAGUCAAAGAGAAAUGCGAUGUGUGGCGCGAUCUAAGCGCGGCGGUGAGGUUGCUGCUGAUGUAUGGGGCAGGGCACAAGCAUUUUUUCACGGCAAUGCUCGUAUCGUACAUCAGUGUCGUAUCAUACAUCAUAUGCCAUCAUAUGCCGUACGCAGGACAAGGAGGCUCUGGCGGGGUCCGUGCUGCGAUACAUGCUGUUUUCCGCUCGCGCCAAGCCUAGCCACCCGGUUCCUCGCGCCAAGCUCAAAGACGCCGUGAAGGCCGUCCUGGGAAACCACAAACAUUACAAAAAGUGGGGAGAGGGGAGGGAGGGUGUAGUAGCUGGCCGCUGCUGAAAAGGCCUCUCGAGAUGCUGGUGGUCGCGCUUAGCACGUAUUUGUAGUUGUUACGUGUGCCGUACAGUGUACCGGCUACUACAGAGGGCGGGUGCGCGGGUGACGGUGGGGGAGGGGGGGAGGGUUAUGGGGAGUACGGAACACGUUGCCAGUGGAUCCUUUCGCAAGAGGAGGGGGGACACGGGGUUUUGGGACCCGAUCUCCCCCCCCGCAAUGUACGGCGCUAGUGGAGGAGGUGCCGAGUUUUAAGUGCUUGGUACCUGACCGCCAUGUAUAACCGCCCCUUAACGUAACCCCGAUCGUCGUACAUAUCGUACUGCCGCGUGCUCUAGCCAGGAUGGGCUCCGUCUGGCUACCCUGGGCGCGCCACAAAGCCAUCAGUGCUCUCGGGUACGACAUUGCGGAGGUCGUACGGCCGCGGGGCGGCGGCGGCGUUGCGGAGGGAGCGGCGGCUUCGACAUCGGCAGUGGCGGCCGACAAUGGCGGCGAAGGCGCCCAGUACUUUGUACUACGUACGGCACUGCCGACGGCGCUUCGUUGCGAGUUCAUUGGCGGCGGUGCGGGCACGCAGCCCGAAGAGGCCGUCCGGAUGCUGGUAUUGGCGCUCAUCCUACAGAACAGCGGUCGCCUGCAGGAGGGUAAGUGCGGUCGGGUGGGGGUGGGGGUGGCGGAUGUGGGGGUAGCGUCACAACCCUUUCCUCCUCCUUCCCCCCUUCUCCUCCCCGUUUGAUACACUCUUGCCCUGGCAGCAGCUUCAAUCGUGUGUGGUUCGUCUUUCCCCCCCUUCUCCUCCCCUCGUCCCACACGUCCCCUGUUUGCAAUCCUCUGUCUGUCGUACGUUCGUACAUUUGUACAUUCGUACUCAUCCCUCUUCAGACGAGCUCCACCGCUACCUGGUUAUGGUGGGUUUUCCCCCGGACCGUGGUCAGCCGCACCCCCUGCUGGGCUUCUUCGACGACCUGAUCAAGCGGAUGGGGGAGCAGAGGUACCUCACGAUGGAGAAACAGACACAAGGUGGGAGUGGGGGGGGGAAAGGGGUUGCGAGAGGGCGCCAAGGCGGAAAGAUUGAAAUCAUGUACAGAACACAAUGACCCGGGGUGUGGCGGGACUAGGAAAAUGUUUGAGAGUAGAGAACAGUCUCAGCUGCUGCAGCUGCCUUAGCAUAGACAUACAUACAGACAGACAGACAGACAUAUAGCGUGUCAGGAAGGGGCACAUCGCGGGCGACAUCGCCAUCGUUCCGCAACUCAUCUUCCCACCACAUUGAUCCAGUUCCAUGGCUGCCCCCCCCCCGCCCGCCCGUGCUCCGCUAACGCCAUGUUGUACGGCAGCUGACGGCAGCGCCACUCACUUGCUGACGUGGGGCGAGGCGGCUCACAGCGAGAUGACCAAAGAGCAGCUCACGAACACAUUGGAGCCGGUGAGAGGGGGAAGGGAAGAGAGGAACGACGGGGAGAGGGACGGGUAAAACAACCCACACGCGUACACACGUUCAGUAAAACACACGUGCACGCACACGCACCACGUGCAUGGAUGCACCUGGGGAGGGGCCCCUCGACUGAGAUCGUUCUACUUCCUUUCCUCUUGUUCCAGUCCCUUUCCCUUUUUGGUUUUGACCGGUUUUGACCUGCCUCCCUCCCCACGGUCACCUCAUGACAACGCAUCAUCCACUCGCCGGGCCCCCGUACUCCCAUCCCCUUACCCUCCCCUCCUUUUCCAAACAUGUGCACAUGCACAUAAACGCAGUUCUUCCUGGCUACUGAGAACCAGGAGGGCGAGGAGGAGGGCGGGGGGGAGGAGCAGUAGUGUUAGGAGGCGUAUGAAGGCGGAAGGCGGCGGAUGAGAAACGGGAUGCAGUACUGCAUGGUAAUGCGUGAGGUCGGUAACGUCGAGGAGGACCAUGAGCAGGAGCGGGCGGAGCUCGCGGCGGGAAGAGGAGGACCCGAGGAAGGGGAGGGGAGGGGAGGGGAGGGGAGGGGAGGGGAGGGGAGGGGAGGGGAGGGGAGGGGAGGGUGGUUAAGGGAGGGAAAUGCGGCCGCGAGGGGGUCCCAGCUGGACUGUCAAGAGGACGGGGCGGCGGAGGCGGAAGCGGAGAGGUGGCCGGUUCAGCAGCGGAGCAGAAGAAAGUGCGCAACACCGGUGGAAAUCACAGUGGUGGUGGUGGGGUGGUGGUGGUGGUGGGAUAGCGGAUCGACUUGGACGCGGAGGAAGCCGGUUGAGCGGGAGGCCGCCGGUUCUGGGGGGGGAUGUCGUGGGGGAUAUCGGAUGCAAGGAGGAGGAGGAGGGAGGGGGCUGCCACGGUGGAUUUCUUCCCGGGAGGUGGAGGGGGCCUGGCCGCAGGCGAUGUGGGCUGAGCGCCGGGUGUAGGAAAGCAGUUUUCAUUCCUCCCGGGAGUACCUUCCCCCUAGGACUGAACCACAAAAGAUGUCGGUAACGUAUUGGGCUCAUGAGGGGAUGAGACUUCGUCGCUUCGGACUCACUUCCUAGGGGCAAUUUCGGGCUUUGGACGCCGUCCGGCAGGCAGAUAUUUUCUGAGUUUCUUGCAUAUGAUCCCCCCUAGGGGUGCAGCAGAGUGGGCUGCUGCGUAUGGAAAAGAUGGACACCGCCAAAAAGGGCUGUCGUGGGAAAAGCUGCCGCCGCUGUCGUCGCCCGCUGGCUUUGUCCACAACUACCCCUUAAGAGUUCUUCACCUCUCCCCCUCUCUCUCUCUCUCUCUCCCCCAUUAUCUCACUCGCAAACAGAGACACACACAGACACCACACAUUGCUCGACUACUUUCCAUGGUGAAAUUGCUCUUGUGACAUCACACUGAAGUUGCUUGUAACGUCCCAGCUCUUCCGUCUCGCGGCUCAGAUUAUGAAAACGUAUACGUAUAUACAGUGGGACACAUGUGGUCCCGGUUGCGGGGGGAGGCGUGGACGGGCGCGUCCCUCGCCCUUCCCUCGCAUUGGUUCGAGCCGCUGAGUAGCUAUGAGACUGUGGGUUUCGUUCCUGAAACCUCCCUUCCAGUCCUGUCGCAUUUUGGCGUGAUUGCAUAAUGUAAUGACGGAGUGAUGAUGUAGGUGGGCGGUAUCGCUGGGGUGUGGUGCGCGUGUCGCUGUUGAGGAGAGAACGGUUAUGCUUUGUUCAGGGACCCAGAUCAGGUCAGAAGCUUUUUAAUGGUACCAGGUUACUGGGGCGUAGGGCGGAGUUUCCAGAGCAGCUGGCCGUUAUACGACUCUCAUGUUGUAGAUAGCUGUGGAGGCGGAGGAGGUUUUCGACAGCUUUAGGAGAGGGUCGAAGUAGCGUCGUUGGAAGGCUUGGACCGUGGAUAACUCGAAUCCUGUGGAUUGUGCGUGAUGGAUGGCGUGUGUGGCACGAGACAAUUGUGAUUUAGGUUGUCGCCUGUAAGGAUUUCCGAUAAGGUCGUGCAUGGAUGGGGGGAAGGGAGUCGUUCAGGGUGUAGGCGCGCACUGCGGUUGGUUGACUUGGUUGACGAAUGGUAGGACCUAAUGGGACCUGGCACAGUUUUUUAAUGACAUACAGGAAAACCUGUGUCAUGACAAAGAAGGGAACAGUUGGAUUCCACGUUUUACAGUUCUGUAGUGUUUUGCACAUUGCCGUUCGAAAGAGCCGUACACAUAAGAAGGGCCAUGAAGACACACGGCAUCUGCCGGUUAAACAAUGGAGGAGAGCUCCAAGCAACACAUUGCACAGAGAAGCUCGUGUUUAUAACUUAGGCGGUGGUAUUUGGCUACCUAUAGGCGAUCGGCAUCGGAAUCUCCCGAAGUCCUAGAUCCCACAGGCAUCUAAAGCAGGCAUAACGAGUCAUUUGUUAGUAUGGCAGACGCGACAUGGCUUUCCGAAGCUGUUGUGGAGUUUCUAAAGGUACGCUGUAUGUCGGGGAACAUGCACCAUUUGGCUUCUCCCUAUCAAGUUUACGGCAUGCCUGCAGGGACCUUUGUACAUAAAUCCCUUGAUGAGUUUCAUUGAUGAGAAAUGCCUCAUUUUCACGCCAGAAGAAGAGAACAAGCUUGAGUACACAACCGUAAGUUGGACGGAAGGGUGGUUUUUGCCUUGGUCAGCAGUGUAUGCAAUAGUGAUCUGUCAUUAUAAUGUGGCAAACAAAAUCCUUUGUCUUUUCGCAUGCAGGGCUGUAAGAUUCCGCUAUUUCCUGAUAGCGGAACUACGGCCCCCUGCAUACCUUUUUGCAUCAACUGGAGACGCAUCCCCUCUCCUCCUUUCCCUCCUGCUCUAUCCCACCACGCUCUCUGCAUACGGUCAGUCUCCCACAACUUGGGACGCCAUUUGGGUCAUGGAAGUUUGACCGGGCCCGACCUACACAUGUCUGUUCAUCACGUGCGCCGUCAUUAGUUGCACCUACUACAACAUGUCAAACAGCAUGGCAAAGCACCCUUUGAGUCAUGCACAUACUGCCCGCACGAUUCUCCUACGUCGCCCUUUGGGGUCAUUUUUCUUCUCCACUCCUUUUCUGCUUUCCUCUCCCUCCGCCCUUGCUUUCACACGUUUCUCCCCUCCGCAUGGUCAGUGCCACAACGAGUUUAAGGAGUUGGUUGACAAACUCCUAACUGACUUCCUUUUGGAGCUUGGUGUGGGGCCAGAGGAGUUUUACAAGGUGGGUCAGUGUAGAGUGGUUAGCCUGGGUUGGCAUUUCAAGGUGUGCUUUAGGAAGAAGCCUUGAGAGCAGCAGUGGGAGGGUUGGGAAGGGAAGUUUUGAGUAGCACGGAGUACGACAGGGAGGAAAGGGUCCAGGAGGGGAAACCGGUUUUGAAACGAACCCCCAAAUGAAGAUUCAUAACGGGAGAUUUGAUUUGGGUCGGGGAAUGCGAGGGCUGGGCGCUUUCAACGGAAUGAAGCAUGGAAGAGGAACCUGAUGUCACUCAGCUUUGGAUGGUUCUGUAACUCGCUUCAUGUCGACAUUCUCCACAUAUCCUUCCCCCUUUAUUCAUUCUUAUUACCAGCUUGCCUUUUCCUUAGCUCUUUGCAUCUUGACCAUUUCAACCAGAAAGCAAACUGACCAAAUUUGCUUUCCCCUCUUCUCGCUACUCGCGUAUGAUUCUCCUCCCUUUUCAGACGGUGUCUGCUGCUCAGGAAACGGACCAGCUCACUGCCUUUGUGGUGCAAACAAUUCUCACAGUGGACGAUUUCCUCAUGUUUAAAGCCAUGAUGGUACGGAGGAACAUCGACCUCACCGCACAGGUACGAAAUUAUACCGGAUGUGUACGGACAUGUGUACGAAUGUAGGUAUUGUAUACAUACGGUGUCGCUUUUGCACGCAAUUUUCGUUCGUGUUUUCAUUUCAGUGACACCGUCCCCUGACAUAGCUCCCAACAGCGGCUGCUCCUCUUUGCAAUGUUGCAGGUGUGUAUUUGCAGCACGCGUCCAACCCCACGCUGCUUUUUGUGUCUUGUUUUCGAAUCUGCGCCCUCUGCGGACGUUCUUUUCCAUUUUCUCCGCAGGUUCUGGAGGCAGUGGAGCAGGCUCUGAUGGAGUCGCAGGGGAAAGGGGAGGAAGGGGGGGAGCCCGGCGCCAGUUUGCUGAGCAACCUGACCAGUGAGGAGGAGGAGGUGCUGCGGGAGGUGGGUCCGGGAUGGGUGGGUUGGGAAUGGGACAGUGGGCUGGACAGCUGUGCUUUUGCGAUCUGAGCCGCGGCUUGGACAAGGACAUGGGCAAGGAUGGCACACGAGUAAUUUUGGGCGGUAGUUUGUAUUCCGCUGUGUAAUGCAGGCCCUACAUGCUACCGGCCUAAAUAGCUGCGCAUGCAUACCUGGGCACUUGAGCCUACCUUUUCAGGCACUACUUCGCCUACCCUCCAGAUCACCUGAUGCGCUGUAUCUGAUUUGGCAUUACAUGUUGUCGCACUGUCGGUGUACAUAUGUGCCCCCACAACGGAUAUCCGUCGAGGAGUAUCUGGUUCUGCGAUCUCCCGUACGGCUCUGCCCUGGGUGGGAUCUGGAUACCUUUGGGGAACCAAAGAGACUUUGGUUCCCCAAAAGGGAAGAAGAAGGGGUGUGUUCUUCUUCUUCCCCUAAAGGGGACGGAGACGAAUAAGAGACUUUGGUUCCCCUUUGGGGAAGACGAAGAAGAAGACUUUACCCUGGUAAUUUUCCUGAUGCCCGAUGAAGGAACAUCCUUUGGUGGCUUUCCCUCUGCGCCCCAUGUUAGAGUUAUAAUUGCGUCAUGCUCGUAUCCUUCCAUCGCUCUGCCAGCACGUCCUCCUACCGUGGAGCCCUACGCUGCACCCGAUUCACAUUUCCGCAUUCCUAAACAGGCAAUGGAGAUUUCCAGUCGACUUCAAGCCGAGUGGGCCGAGGCGGACCGACUCGAGAAGGCCAUGAGGGCGUUACAGCUGGAAGACGAGGAAGCCGCGCUGCCCGUGGCCAUAGCAGCUUCGCUCCGGGAGCAUGCCAAAUUCGAUAGCGAGCUUGCGGACAUUGAGCAGGCAAUCGCGCUGUCCUUGGCGCUUGAGGAGGAACGGCGAAGGUUGGCCUCCCAGGGCAGCGACGGCAGGGCUGCCACUGCUACUGCGGCGGUCCCCGCCAAGGCGGCCGAGCGAGCGCCGCUGCCGCCGGUGAAGGGCGCACCGGCGGCAGGGGCUCCGCCGCAGCCGGCGGCUCCGGCCGCUCCGGCUCCGGCGGCUGACGCAGCGGCUGCUGCUGCGUCCCCGCGGCCCCAGAAGUUUGUUCCAGCGCCGAUUGACGCACCCACCGGCAGUGAGUAACCUUGUUUUAGUUUCUCCUAGGGGGGCUUAGGGCUUAAGGGAUGCAUAUCCCUCUCCCAUGGUCUACCCCGCCCAACCGAGUGCGCAAGUAAUUGCUGUUUGAUGGAUUUAAUUCGUGUUCCUUCUGACCCAGGUUUUUACUUGUCAAGUCGUUCAAAUCUUCCUCAUUUUGUCGUUCUCCCUCGUGUUCCUUAGGCUCGGCUGGCAGGGUUCGUGGCCGGGGUGCGGGCUACAAGAGCGAGGCAUCUUCCGGAGUGGACUUGGAGGCCGUUCGUAAGGCCGCCCAGCAGGCGGCCGAGUCGCAGAAGGUACGGGCUCUUUGGCUCUGUGUUUUUGUUUGUUUUGAAAGUGUUUCAUGUAGUUGCGAGACUGGCCACCUGCCCUACGAUUCACAUACCAACCGACUAGCGGCUGGUGAAAUGUCGUGCCCGCAUCCGGCCUGAUUCAGCCCCUUUCCUCCUCCAUCCGCAGAAGCUGAUUGGCAAGGGUGACGCUAAUGACGAGGCCAGCAAAUGGCUUCAGGAGGCCAAGAAGAAGUUAGUUGCGCAAAAGCAGGCGGACCGAGAGCAGGAGAUUGAGGCGUACAAGGCCGCGGCGGGAAGCAAGGUGAGGCGGAGGGGGGAGGAAAGGGAAGGCAUUGCGGCGCGGGGAGGCGGUUCCUACCUAAUCGUUCAAGGUUAACGAUCGGACCAGAGGGCAGGCUAGCGAGGGUUGUGCGUCCGUGGUUACUUUCUACAACAAGCCUCGACACUUUCCACUAUUGCAAGCCCUCGAUUUCCUUUCACCGUCCGUAUUUGCCCUGAUUGGGCAUUCCAUGGUACGUAUCCCUCAUCGUGAAACACCAUGUGUGUCCCUCUGGUCUGGCAUCGCGCUUGCGGUAUUAUGUUUCGAACGACGCGACCCUCGCACGUGUCUGCCAUCAGCCCAAGGCUGGCGCUAGCGGUGCCGUGAGCGCGGAUGAGGCCAAGCGCGCGGCCCUUCGUGAAGCGUUGGCCCAGAAGAUGAAGCAGAGCAUCUUGCAGCAGGCAUAGGCACAGGCAGGGAGGCUAAUUACCCGAGCGGAAUUCAAGGACUGCUUGUCCUGGUCAGAGAUGAGGCUCUCGGUGAGGGCGCGUUUGCGGGCGACGGCAGCGGGCCGCGACGUAUGGAGAGGAGAGCGGCUGAGGGAAGGACGGCGGGGGGCAGGCGCCUAAACCUAACUGGCCGUAGUGCUGUUUGCGAGGCCAUUUCAUCUGAGUGGUGAAGAUUUGAACAGGUAGCAGAAGGCGCCGCGAAGACGCCAGCCUGGCUGCUUGCAGGUGUUGCUGUCUCACGCUGCACGUUCUCGUCUAGCGCUUGUGUUGAUGUGAAGCAGAACGGUCGUAAAGGCUGAGGGCGUAUGUACAUAAUUGUGCCGUUGCCGAGAAUGUUUACAGCGCGCGCGUCUGUGUACGUUCUAGUUUGUGCACAUUCUACGUGUUUAGGUACACUUUUGGCAAUCUUGCGUGAUGUGUUGUGCGUGUGUUCAGUGUGUAUUUGCGUGCGUCUUCUACGAGGGUAAAUACUUGAGAGAUAAUAGAUGAGUUCUUAUAUCGUGUGGGGUACUUCUUUCCAACGAUGGUGUGUUGGUGGGCAUGAUACACCUUGUUUAGGAUAGCAUGUCCUCCCGAGACCGCAUGCCUACAUCACAUUACACGGCACCUGCUACCCUGUGUUGACUACAAAGUAUCUCACGUCGCCAAGCUUAUGUUUCCCACAACAGGGCGCAGCCUUAGUACGAAGCCGACGCAACUACAAGCAAGCAGCGCUGGUUGGUUACCCACGUGCUCCACACGCCCGCACGUGAGUGCGCGCGUAUGGCUGGAAGUUCCGCAACAGGCGACCGUAUGAGUCCACCGGUGUCGUUCCAAUGGGGGUUUCAAGAAGCAUCCCAUCGCCGAAAAGCCUCGCAAACAUUGUUGCCAUCGCUUGUGCUCUUACACGCGCGCGAGCAGUUGUCGGCAAGUGGACACCGCCGACAGCAUGCCAUGUGACGAGUUGGUGUAAGGCAGGCUAGAUGCGGAUCCUGCAGCCCAGAUUCAACCCCAUCCCGUGUGCAGAGGUGCUACACACGUCUGUCGCCUGUCGUCUGUUCGCCGCUCCACGUGCAACGACUGCCAUUUGCGCCGCAGCUUGUGACAUCCAGAAUGCUCCAGCUGCUGCUGCCACCCCAGGCGUAGUUGCGCGCCUUAGUGGUGCGCUUAAUGGUGCGCUUAAUGGUGCGCCUAG
rnacentral:lncRNA from 1 species